UUUUUUUUUUUUUUUUUUUUUUGCAAAAUUAGUUCUUUCUCCAUUUUGUCUAUGUAAAUUAGUUUGACAUUCUGACUAAUAAUGGUCAUACCUAUGAUAUUUGUAGCAUUCAACAUUAGACUUAUCUACUGACUUUGGUUUUGAAUUAUUGAUGGAUGGCCUCCUUGUCCUCUCUUCUCUUUUUGAAAUUGAUUUUCUUAGUGAUGGUAUUGUUGUUAUUGGUUACUACGAUCAUUGUUUCUGCCUCUGCCUCCUCUCCAUGUUGGGUGACUUUUUGUUGAACUCUUCAAUGCUUGUUCCUCUUUUUCUUGCUGGUUAAUUUUUUGCUCAUAGACCAACGGAAAGCUCUACAACUCAUCAAUUGAAAGUGCAUCAAUGUCUUUCAAUUCCUCUAUAGAUUAUACAACAAAAUUAAAUUUUAUUGUCAUCGAUCGAAGGAUCUUCUCAAUAAUGGUGACGUCCUCCAAAUUCUCUCCAUGGAUCCUCAUCUUGUUCGCGAUUGCCAUCAUUUUUGCGAAAUAAUUUGUGAUCGACUCACUUGACUUCUUGCGUAAAAUCUCAAAUUUGGUCUGAAGAGUUUGAAUCUGCACUAGUUUUGCUUUCGCAUUUUCUUGAUAUUUCUUUUUUAUGGAAUCUCAAAUCUAUUUGAAGAUAUCUUUACUAAAAAUUAUUUUCAAGAUGGCUCGAUCAAUAGUUUAAAAGGUAAUUCUUGAAUUUAAGAUCCUUCAGUUUCAAUGCUUCCAAGUUCCAACUCUAUUUUCUACACCUUUGACAAUACUACUCCCAUUUUUUGUUCUGUUAUUCCAAAUCCGACAACUUGUCAAUGCUCUUUGGAUUUUAAGAAGUUCUCCAUUAGUAUGUUCUAAUGAUCAUAGUGACCUUCAAAGCGAGGAAUUGCUGUUGCACAAAGUUGUUGGUAGCAAUCAUGACUUACCAACAAAAUUUUUACAACUCACUUUUGUUUUUACUCAAGAAACUAGCUUUGAUGUUACUGUUACAAUGACUGAAAAAUAAUAAGAGAAGCAAAGAACUAAACUUUAUUUCUUUGUAAAACUAAUAUUUAAUUCAUAACAUGAAAUUGCUCUAUUUAUGGAGUUCAAAACAAUUAUACUAACUAUCCCACUAACUCUACUGCCCAUUAAUUAGUAGAACAAAACAAACAAACAUGAUUAACUAAUAACAGUAAAUAUUUUAACAGUUUUCUCAUCCUGGCUUUAAGUAAAAAAUGAAUAAAAAUAACUCCCGAAUUUCUUAGAAGGUAGUCCUGUACAAAGUGGACAUUUUAUCAAACCGAAGUCUUCUCAUGUUUACUUUCGUUUUUCAUUUUUUGCCCUUUCCUUUUUCGAUGGAGAAAAUGUAAGUCGUCCCUCUUCUCAAUCUCCCUCUUUGGCUCCUCCAUUUUCUCCGAACUCCCGAGUCUUUGGACUUUCCCGCACUAUUUUUUAUUUAGCAGUCUCAAGUCUUAACAAGUCGUCAACGAUUCCACUUUUCAAAGUUCUGAUUAUAUUUUUUUCCCUUCUAACCCUUCUGAGAAUCCUAAGUUUCUACUUGUCAUUUUUGUUGGAUUUCACUGAUCUUUGAUCUCAAUCUUUACACUGCCAAUUAAUCAAGAAUGGUAUGCUUUAGUGGAUUUUCCUGGUGGGUUUUCGAUUUUGGAUGCUGCUAGCUAAUUCUUUGAUAUUCAGCCGCAGAAAGUGCUGAUUUUUGGAAGUUUUUGAUGCUUCAGUUUUCCCGUUGAAGACCAUUUUGGAGGUUAUUGAUGCUGACCCUUUUAGUAUUUUGAUCUCAUUUUUACUGGGUUGCCACUUUUGAUCUUUAGUUCUGGAAAUUCAUCAAGUUUGAACCUUUAUUGCUAGUGAUAAGAUGCUGUUGUUUACGUUUACUAGGAAAAGAUUGGUACUUUGUCUGUAAGUAUGGUGAAGGGAUCUUGAUAGUCAAUUCUGUUUGAUUGAAAGAAUGGCCGCUCAUGGGAAAUUAAGAAUCAAGGACGCGGCUUUUCGCCGUUUCUUGUCUGUAGCUGUGAUCACGUUGUUCGGAGCCAUUUUGAUAAUAUUUCUUCAUAGGUACAGCCCUGUUUCUGAUUCUGUAAUCAGGGAUGCAUAUGAAAGUGCUGAGAGUUUGCAAGUGACUUUUAAUUAUAGUCAGAGAACAGAAAAUGUGAAUCUUCCUAAGCAGAAUGAAUUGUCAAUUCGACUUCAGAAGCAAAAUGAGUUACCUCCUAGGAACUUGAAUUUAUAUCCUAAGCUAGCUAAGGAUAAUAUAGUGAUAGUUUUGUAUGUUCAUAACCGGCCCCAAUAUCUCAAAGUGGUUGUUGAUAGCCUCUCAAGAGUAGAGGGGAUCAGUGAGACUUUACUUCAUUGUUAGUCAUGAUGGAUAUUUUGAAGAGAUAAAUAGGAUUAUCGAAGGGAUCAAGUUUUGUCAAGUGAAACAGAUUUUUGCCCCUUAUUCUCCUCACAUCUUUGAGAAUAGCUUCCCUGGUGUCUCCCCAAAUGAUUGUAAGGACAAAGAUGAUCCUGUUAAGAAGAAAUGUGAAGGAACGCCUGAUCAGUAUGGAAACCACCGGUCCCCGAAGAUUGUGUCAUUGAAGCAUCACUGGUGGUGGAUGAUGAACACUGUGUGGGAUGGGUUAAAGGAGACUCGUCAGCAUCUAGGCCAUAUUCUUUUCAUAGAGGAAGACCAUUUCAUUUAUCCUAAUGCCUAUCGUAAUCUUCAGCUACUAACAGAGUUGAAGCCUGUGAAAUGUCCUGAUUGUUAUGCUGCGAAUCUCGCGCCAUGUGAUGUGAAAGCAAAGGGAGAGGGUUGGGAAAGUCUGAUUGCAGAGAGGAUGGGCAACAUUGGUUAUGCAUUUAAUCGGACUGUAUGGAAAAAAAUACAUAGGAAGGCAAAAGAGUUUUGUGCCUUUGAUGAUUAUAAUUGGGAUAUAACAAUGUGGGCAACAGUUUACCCUUCAUUUGGGGCUCCUGUUUACUCUUUACGAGGACCUCGGACUAGUGCUAUUCACUUUGGAAAAUGUGGUUUACAUCAAGGUCAGGGUGAGAAACAGGCUUGCGUUGAUCAUGGCUUUUCGAAUAUUCAAGUGGAAAACAUUGACAAAGUUCCCAACAUUAAAACAGACUGGGGAGUACAUAUAUAUUGGAAACAAGCAGGGUAUCAAGCUGGCUUUCGGGGCUGGGGAGGCUGGGGUGAUACAAGGGACCGGCAAUUGUGUUUGGAUUUUGCUAAUAUGUAUGAUUUGCGUAGCACUUGACCAUCUUUUGGAGCAUCUUGAUCAUUAAACAUAGUGAGUUCUGAAUUUUUUCCCCAGUUCUCAAGGAUAGCAUAAGUAAAUCUUACAUGUUUGUCACAUGAGGGUUAAAGUUUUAUUACUUUUGAAUGUGUUUUGACUAUACCCAAAUAAAUUCAAAAUUUUGCCUUACUAUUCUGGAAAUUUAUUAACUUGUUUAAGCUUUUGUUUCUAAUUUUAUGGUUAUUAGUGGCAUUUUCCUUAUGAACUUAACUAGAAACUUUUUAUUCUUUAUUUUUUGAGCUGUAACCUAUUACAUUUUCUGUGCAGCGUGUGUGUGUGAGAUUUAGAUGGAGGUAAAAUCUUGUGGGGGAUAGAAAAUUUUUUCUGUACUAAAUUGAAUUAUUAAUUGCAUAUAUACAAGUAUUAACAUCAUGUAGAGUGACAUGUUGAAACUAAAUCCUCCCUGCAAGUGGAGGUGCUUUUUUAAUCGGAAAAAUUAUGAACAUUGGUAGCUAUGGCUAACUUGUGGAUAGUACAAUAGAAUCACGUGAAAGAUAACAAAAGAGUUUAUUAGUUGCUUGCUACUUUUCUCUGCCUAUUCUGAGAGUACAAUUGUCAAUAUUCGCAGUUAGGCAGAAAUUCUUCUUUCUUAGAUAUUCCUUCUUCUCCUGAAAAAUUCUUCCUGCACAAGUUACUCAUUCUUCUAAUUUGUUCAUAUGAAAGUUAAGGUUAUUAUGAGAGUGUUACUAGUCGUAUGUCUGCUGUAUUGAAGAAGUAUGGAAACAAAUUUCAGUUUUCACUAGGACUGAGUUUCCUUUCAAAGCAAAGUCCCACGUAAGAAAAUGUAGGACAUUAUGGAAGGUUUAUCUUCAGUUCUAAACUUUUUAUGAGUGAACGGAUACAAUUAGGAAGAAGGAAGUGGCUAAUCAUGAUGGCUACAAGCUAAGAUCUACUUAUUAGUAGAGCUUUGUCCCAUACGCAUGAAGAAUCUCCUUAGAGUUUGGGUUCUUGUGAGAUCUUGCAUUGGAACCAUGCUAUUUCUGCACUUUGUAACGUUUAACAAACAAAUGAAUGUGCCUUCCUUAGCAGAUCUUGUACUUGAACAGUCUUCUUACUGCAUUGUUUAAGGUUUAACAAACAAAAGAAGACUGAAACUUCAAUGGGUUUGGCAGGAUAAAACAACUAUGGUAUGAUGUUAGGAAUCCUGUUCAAACAUAGAUUUGGGACAUCAGCGAAAAACCAGAGUAACUUUGGACCAAUGUUCUUUUUCAUUUUUUUUUUCUGGUGGGUUGAGGGAGAAGGAUAACAUGCUCUUGUUUUUAAGUAAACAAAAUUAAUCAUACCAGAGCUGACUUAUUGUAUUUUCUUUUUGCCAAUAUGAUUUCUAACAUCAAAAAAGCUAUCCUAGUUUCGUAGGAAGUUUCUGAUUCUAAGCAUGUUCUGGUUGCAUCCUUGUGUAGUAACAUGUUACAAACUGUCAGAAACUUUUAUCUCCUUUCUGCUUCUGUUUCCCCUUUCACUCUCUGUGUAUCCCACCAGUCCAUCCACUGGAACACGAAUUGAUAUUUCUUGUCAAUGGCAGCUCCCAAAAAGAAAACAGGACAGCAUCACACCAAAAGGCAGAGAACUGAAGAUAAGAUGAAAGCCCCUAAGAAUUCAUGUCUAAGGGACAUGUUGUUCAGUGUAUAGUCAUUAUAUUAGCUAUUAGUGCUAAUAAAUUCCAGUGCCAAAUUCAAAUUUAGCACCUAAUAUUGUUCAGUUAUAAUACUUAAUUAGCUUUGCGUAUUACGAUUCAUGCUGAUAUGAGAUAUCCAUCAUGUAGUAUGUAAUGUAUCAACAGUAUACUCAUUGCGGUAUUGCAUUCCUGCGGUUGUUUGGCGUACUAAAGUAUCAAGGAAUUAUUUCUUUUUCCCUUUUCAUCCUGUUUCUUUCAUUUUUCGAGUACCUGUUAAUCUGAAAUAAUUUGUUUGCUAUCUUCUAUAUCCCUUUUUUUUCAUGUGAAAUACCUCUAAUUUACGCUCCUUCUUCCCGCACCACUUCACCCCCUUCCUCUCUGUAUUAUGCUUGUCAUGUUGAUAAAGUCAAAGCACUUUUUAGUUUCUUCUUUCAAUAUAGUCCAAAUGCAUUGCAAUGUACCCCGUCUCUUCUUCUUCUUCUUCUUCUUCAGGCUUGCUAAAAACUUUGGGAAAAUGACAUCUUUAGUUCCUAACGUUUUUUUCGUCCAUCACUUCUAAAAUGAAGCAAACUAGUACCACCAGAAUGACAACUUGAUAUAGAUUUUAAGAUACAGUUGGAACAUCACUUUAGUUUCUUCCAAGCCGCUACACGUGCAUCCUAUGACAUGAGACCUCGUUACACGAACAAGUACACUGCCAAAGAAAGACAAAAGAAAAAUCCUUUUAUCAACGAAAUGGAUUUGGGACAGGUGAGGUUGAGAUUUUUGUACGAGUGUGUAGUCGUUAUAUUUCUUAUAUGAUAUGAUAUAUACUCAUAAGCUUUGUUGUACUCGUAUGUAUGAUAUUUUUUUCAGAGUAAAUUUUAUAUACGCUGUCAGUGUAUACACUGUUACGAUUGAAUAGAUAAAACAUGAGCUUGUGACAUAUGUCUAAUGGUGAUAGUGUAAACAUUCACAGUGUAUAUAAGAUUAAUCCUUUUCUUUUGACGCAUUCUCUAAUUCAAUGUAUGACAACAACCUAGUACCAAUUGCACCAAAAGCAAUUGUAUUGUACCUACCUAAUCCCUCAACAAGAUAAACAUAAUUGCCCAUUAAUGGUUCAUCCACAAACCCAGCAUUAAAUUGAUGCCAAGACCAUCCCAAUACGGUUAGUUAAAUAAGGAUCAUUUUCAUUAGGAGCUUAUCCCAUGAGUCCCACCCAGAUUUCAUUUAUUAAUAGGUGAAAGGUUGUGUCUAUCGCUAUACAAUGUCCUUUGCUACGCUAUUGCCUCCAAAUAUAAUUGAUCCCAACUUUUCCAAAUAUAAGUCACUGUCGCAUUCCUCCGUUUGAUCACUUGGUUGAGUUUUGACAACGUAGCUAAGGGAGUAGAGAUGGAAAUGGGGCAGCGACGGUUGCACCUGAGCGGUUGAUGGCCAUGAUUUGGCCUCAAAAAUUUGUGCGGCUGAGAUUACAAGUUGUAACUCGAUUUUCACGCCAUGUGUGGGCCCCACAAAAUUUGCUCUAAAGUUACGCGAUGUGUAAAAAAAGUUACACGAUGUACAAAGAAAGUUACGCGCAGUUGAUAAUGACCAAAACCGCCUGGGACGGUUGCAGGUGCAACCGUCCGUGCCUCGAGUCCGUAGAGAUCACCUUCAAUCAGUCAUAUUCGUAACUCAGAUUGUCGGCCAUGAAUGAUUAGUUCCAAAACAUAGGACCCCUACGAAUUAUUAUAUGUGUUUUUAGAGGUGUUUUUUGAAAUAUUACAUUAUAGAAUUAUAGGUCAAAAACUUGUUAAUGUGGAUGUGUUUUAGCGUGUUUUUUAAAAAUUUUAAAUUUUAUUGAGAUAUUUUUGAAAAUUUAUUGAAUAUUUCACCAUACACAACCGCCGCCAGGCUUCACCUCCUCCCUCUUCCAUUAUCGCCACUGUCCCUCCUGGCCCCCUUCCUCCUCCUCUCUCCUUUCUUUUUCCUUUUUCUUUCCCUUCUUCCUCCUUCCUCCUUCCUCCUUCUUUCUUCUCCUUCCUCUUCCUCUCCUCUCCCAAAUCGGAUGUGGCUGUCAGUGUUCAUAAGGUGGAGGUGUUGGGGGGCAUUGUUAGUUGUUCUGUUCAUGGUAAAAGCCUCGAGCUGGGGGCUUAAGCCCCACGAAUUGCAAUUCUCAAUAAUUCAAGAAUUAAUAAGAUGCUAGAAAUAUUCAAUAUUUAUUAAAAAUGAUAAAAUGCCAACUGACUAUAUAACAUCUAAUCAAUAGAAUGAUAACUAAACAUGAAAAAGAACUUGAAAGGGUUAUAAAGUUCAGAAAUUCAAAGCACAUUAGCUGUAAAUUGUGAUUUCAAAGAGCACGAAAAAACGAUUAGUUAUUUGAUCGAACUACGAAAAUUAAUAUAGUGCACAUAAGGGUACGUAGUAGAAAAAAAACACUAAAGAGCUCCAUUUGUGCUGUGAUUUUUUUUUUUUGAAUAUUUUUUCUUUUAUUUUUCUUUGUUCUAACAAAAGGAUUUAGGUGAAAUAUCGAACUUCACUGCUAGAGGUGUUGUUGAGGCAAUAGCCUAAUACUGUUGACCGCUCUGGAGUAUGGUCAUUCUGCUUUUCUUAUAAUUUUUUCCCUCUCUUUCUUGAAUUUGGAUUUUAUGCAUUGCAUUUUUUGCAGAAUUUUUGGUAUUUUGUUUCUUUUUUUGGACAUAGGCCUAUUAGUCAAUUUAAGAAAUAGCCUAACAUCAUUUGAUAUCUGUUUAAGUAACAAGGGGUGACUGCUAUUUCCAAAUAACCUGUUGUAGUGGCUUUGAUGAAUCUUCCCAACAAACAUUCACCCAAAUUGUACAAUAGCAAAACACGGAACAAGACAAAAGCAACGACAUUAAGACCUUCAAACUCCUGGCUUAAUUUUAGCACUCAAUCAUCAAUUAUCGAUAGCAGUUGAAUUUAGGGCAGCAAACUUUAGCAGCUCUUCAUCCUUCUCAAAUAUGGACAUAUUUGAUUCCUCCAGUGUCACUAGAGCUUCUAUGCCUCCUGAUUUCGGGUUAUCCAGCAAAUGAAAGGUAUUUUUCAUCUGACUAGUGCUAGUUCCCACCCAUAUUGGUCUUCCCCAACCAAAGUUGACUAGAUUAAACGGAUAUCUACACAAGCUGCUACAUCUGUAGACCUCAAUUUCGCCCUGAUUUUGCCUCAUCACUUUUCUUGCCCCUUCAAUGGACUCACAUAUAAGUGAGUAGCAAUUAUCAGCACUUAAUCCACUCCCAAACUUCUCAGAAAACCCUUGAGCUGCUUUCUUCAGUGCAGAGAUAAUUGUUGUCAUAUUCUUGUCUUUUUCAUCAAUUGUCAUGAUUGAGAAAAACCAAGAAAAAUUUCCAGCACAAUUAUCUGGCAAUGGUGGGACAACUCGGGGCGCAUAUUUGCAGCCUGCAUUAACAUUGAUGGCCUUGACAUGCCUGAUUUUGCCUCUGAUGCAGCCAUAGCACACUUGUAAAUCAGUGCAGCCACAACUUCAACCCUACUAGGACUAUGAAUUUUUCCCAAAUCAUCGGAUACCAUAGUCUUGAGGUCAGAGAGCUUGGAAGGAUUAAAAGAAAACCUCCUCGUGACAACAUUAAUGUUCUUGUCAAGGUUAAUUCCGGGGACAGUGAUUUCACCCUUAUACGGUGAGAUCACUUGUUGUGUAAGGAACAUGGGAGAGACCAUAGAACCACUAGCUAGAGCAGCCCAAUCAUUGAUGAAUCCAAGCAAAGCACAGGCAUCAGUAACCUUGUGUAGCAUGGACACGCUGAUUGCUGUUCCUCCACAGCUGAAAUAGGUUACUUGCACAAUAAAGGGACUUCCCUGGAAAGAUUCAUUGAACAGCAUUCCAGGUGGAGAGAACAAAUCCAUGGUCUCCGGGUCAGGGUUCUUCAGGACAUCAGAGAUUUUGCAUUCUAUACGGGCUUCGUAGAAAUCGAGUCCUUCAUCAUUACAAUCAAUCGAGUCCUUGUUAGGGGCUAGUCUUCCAGCAAAAGGGUAGUAAUGAGUCAGGGUUUCUGAUAGAGAUUUCUUGAGAUGAGAAGAUACGGUAGUGUUGUUGGAUGAAUUAUCAGAAUCAGGUGGUGGGUAGAAGAGAACUAUAGGGAGGUAGAAAUGUGGGGAAAGCUGAUCUAACACAGAGAGAUUGUAAGUCUUCAAGUGUUCUGAGGUAGGAAGGGAGGGCUUGAUGAGAACCUUUGAGAUCAUUUGAGGCUUUACGCUUGCCAUUUCAAUGCCAAAUUUACUUUGGUGGGAACCUUAAAGAUAGAAGUAUAUAUAAGGGUUAUGACCAAGUUACACAGGUUUGUUAGUUAAAGCAACUCAAUUAGUCUCAAUAUUUUCGAAUACCCAAAAAAAAAAAUUGUAGGCUAUAACUUUUGAGUUUUUUCUUGCUAUAUAUAUAUAUACUCUCUUCGUCCCACUUUGAUAGUCUUGGUUUUUUUUCACACAGUUUAAGAAAAAAUAGUUAACUUUGUUGGAACAAUCAAUUUAAGUAACUAUUUUCCUAAAAUGCCCUCACAUUAAUUAGAGUACAACUUUAUGGGAAGUUGAAUUGAUGGUAAAAAAAAAAAAUCAACUCUCAUUAAAUGGGAUAGGUUUAUAGUAACAACAACUUACACUGAAUAAGGGUAUUUUAGAAAAAUUAAAAUAUAACUACAUUUUUCAAUUGGAAAGUGGAUCAUAAUUUGGAACAGACGAAAAAGGAAAACAGGACUGUCAAAAUGGGACGGAGGGAGUAUAUAUAUUCUAUUCUAUUGUUGGCAAACAAGUCCAAUAGUUGGUCAUCGACCAAUGUAAGAGCUCCAGUUAUCAUUAAGAAACCUACCAUUUUUCAUGUGAUAUACAUUUAUUUACUGAUAUAUAUAUAUAUAUAUAUAUAUAUAUAUAUAUAUAUUCUUGCAUGCUCGAUUUUUUAGCAGUCAAUUAAGGGCAUGUGCCCCAUUUUUUAUCUGCCUUAGCAGGCAUUAAAAGGAAAAAUUAAUGAAAUGCAGUACCCAAAACUCUAGGAUAGGACCCAUCAAUCACCAGAAAUUGGCUGACAAUUCAACGAGUAGACAGAUUAGAUAAUGGUCCAUUUAUUUCAAUUGCUUUUCGGCCAAAAUGGUAGAAACAUGGCGAACUCAUUCUUGGCAUCCUGUCUUAAUCGCUAUGAAAUAUUCGGUUCAACCAUACUCACUGAAUCAAUAAAUCCCAGCCGGUGGUUACCGAUCUCUGUCAGGAACAAAUUGAAGUUUGAAACUUUAAAUAAAGAAAAUGAAAGAAAAAAAGAGAUAAUCAGCCUCAUGCUAGUUGGUAUUCAAGGUUUUAACGUACGGGAGUGGACCAAAAAUAGUAAUAUUUUUGGGAUAAUACUUUUUUGAUAUAAUGUGUGUGAAAUAAAAAAGAUAAUUAAAAAAUAAAUUUACAAUACAAGUAAAUAAAUUUAUACAAAUAAUCCGCUGUUCGAACAAAUUCACUAGUGAUACACGUCAAGACAUUUUUUUUUUUUUUAAUGUUAUUGGUAUUUGGUAGAGAAAAAAUUCUCGUAGGUAUUGCUGAAAGCAUUUAAAUUUUGAUCGGACCCAAAACCAAAUACAACGGCGGCAGAAUUAUAUUGCUGAUUGGAGUGGGAACGAAAUGAAUUCAAUUGAUUACUCGGGAUAGACAAUUGUGGUUGGUUUUGUCUUCUUUCGAAGUUCUGUGGCAAGAAAAGGAAAUGAGGCCAUGAGGGAGAAACAUGAGACUACUGGAUAGUUUAGUAUCCUCUACCAAAGUGGAGAGAAAUGAAGUCAAAAUAAGAAGCUUCAAAUAAUUUAUUUACUUUGCCAAAUUUGCCAUAAAAAAGACCACUCAAUUCGUUAGUUUCUCUCCUUACUUUUUUUUAAUGAAAUUGUUUUCUCCUCACAUUACUUAAUAUUUCUGUCCUUGUCAUUUCUUUAAUUAAGAACCAAAAAACGAUUCUAAUCAUUUCCCUAAUUAUCAAGAACCAAAAUUAGGUAAAACGAUUCCAAUCAUGUCCCUAAUUAUUAAGAACCAAAAAUAGGUAAAACGAUUCUAAUCAUUUCCUUAAUUAUUAAGAACCAAAACUAGGUAAAACGAUUCUAAUUUGGCCACAUUCGAUUGAAUCGUAACAUAGUUUCUUUUUUUUUUUUUUUUUAAUAGUGUAAAUGGAAGGUCCCGAAUCCGAACCUCUCAUUUACGCUGAUUUCUCCUAUAUCGCCCAACUCAUCUUUUCCCCCUACCCCCUUUGAGCAAAACAGAGUUAAUAAACAUUUGUGCUGAUCACUUGAGAAUUAAAGAAUUUGUUGUCAAAUUGUUGGGGAUGCAUGUUUUUUUCUGAAUAAUGUAGGUUUUCUUCUUUAAAUUCUAUCAACCAUCAGCACUUGCUAAUAGUUGUACUUCGAAAGCCAUGUGAAGAAAAAUAUAGCAUGAUAAGUUAACGGACGACAAUAUAGAAAAGUGUCACUUCUUGAACCAAGUCCAUGCUUUUUGAACACCUCUCCGUGCUAUCCUUUCAUUUCAUUUUUUUCGAUAGUCGAUAACAGUCUAUUUUAGACCUACUCCUAUUCUUAUUCUAACUUAUUUUAGGAGGAUUCAAUUGGACCUAUGAAAGAACCGACGAGAACUGAACUACUGUCGGAUCAAAUGAUUGUACCAGACACUCGUUUGGAUUUGGAGUUUCAUUUCAUGUAAUAUAUCAAUUUGCAACAGUAAAAAAUUGGAAGAAGCAUUGAACAUUUUGCCUUUCACUAUUCAAUUUUUGAGACACAAUUAUGUCUAAACGUAGAAGAGAUCUCAAUUUUCUUGACUAGCUAAAAUUUCAGCCUAAACAAAGAUCGGUUAUACGGGCAAUUAGCUCUUUAAUUCGUGUUAGUGCCUCAUCGACCUAAUCCCAGAUUACAACUAUAAAUACGCUAGGCCGGAUUAUAAGAUUGACAACAACCAAAAGACAGUUUGUGAUCAAUCUUAGCAAAGAUCUCUAAUAAUCAACGUUGUCUAGCUAGGUAGCUAAUCAUGGAAUAUGACCAAGUAUGCUUUUUCACGGCUUUGAUAAUGGUCAUGGUCUCCAUAGUCUAUAGUUUGCUAAGGAAAACAAACGACUGGAUAUACGUGAGCCCUUUGGGUGGACUGCAAAAAACACUACCCCCUGGUGACUUGGGCUUCCCUUUGAUUGGCAAUAUGUUUUCUUUCUUCAGAGCUUUCAAGUUUGGUAAUCCUGAUUCAUUCAUCUCCUCCUUCACUACCAGGUCUCCUCUCUAUCUCUCCCUCCCUUUUCUUUUUUCAGGUAUCAUUAUUGGCAUUCCACUUGCUCAUGUUUAAAGCUUUUUUUCUUUUGGGCAUAAACUUUCUGGAUAUAGAUAUGGGCAGGCGCCAAUGUACCGGACACUACUGUUUGGAAAGCCAAGCAUAAUUGUUACAACAGCUGAAGCAUGCAGAAAAGUUUUGACAGAUGAGCGUUUUGGACCCGGUUGGCCUAGAUCAGUCUCAGAUUUGGUAGGAAAGAGAGGACUCCACGGCGUAUCGAAUCAAGAACAUAAGCGUCUCCGGCAGCUAAUAGCAGCUCCAGUUGCCGGUCAGGAAGCAUUAUCACUGUUUAUUGGCUAUAUUGAGGAUAUCGCUAGAACUACGUUUGAUACAUGGGCAAGUAAGGAUGAACCAAUUCAGCUGUUAACUGAGAUGAGGAAAACUGCUUUUAAGGUGAUGAUGAACAUUAUUAUGGGUAACGAAAUUAAUGAUGAAAAAUCAUUGGAUCACAUGGAACAUGAAUAUACUGUACUUUCUAAUGGACUCAAGUCAAUGGCCGUAAACCUCCCUGGUUUUGCGUACCACCGGGCACUCAAGGUGAGGAUUCCUAACCUUAAUAAAAUGCUAUUUCUUUGUGUCUCAAUCUCUUAGGGGUAAUUUAUCUUAACCCUGUAGUAAAUAAUUUGCGUAACGGAGGCAAAUAACACCUUAAGAAUAACAUUGUCAUGCCUCAAGAUCAUCAAUCCAACCUCCAUUUUUGCUUAUACAAGAACUAAGUGUAUAUUUGAAGUUCUUUUCAAGAUCUAAUCUAGAAAUGUUUGCCUGUUUUGACGCGGGUGUUAGGCAAGGAAGAGCUUAGUGAAGACAUUUGCAGCAAUUGUGUGCAAAAGGAGGAUGCUGUCCAAAAGUAAUAAUGUUGAAUCAAGGACUAAAAAGGACUUGUUAACUUUGAUGAUGGAAAUCCAAGACGAUGCGGGAAACAAAUUGAACGACGAGCAGAUUGUGGAUUUGGUAAUCAUAUUCUUGUUAGCUGGGCAUGAAUCUUCCGGUCAUGCUGUAACAUGGGCCAUUAUACUCCUUCACGAGCAUCCUCAGACCUUACAGAAGGCAAAGGUAGGUACAUAUUCGUCUGAGUAAGACUUUGAGAGUAAUAAUUGCUGGUAUAUAUGUUCGGGCAAUAUAACUUUGUAGGGACUUAAAUUUAUACAUUUUAGGAGGAACAAGAGGACAUUGUGAAGAGAAGAGCAUUUUCAGAUACAGGGCUAAACUUCAGGGAAAUUAGACAAAUGAAGUAUCUUCAGAAGGUAAGCAUACGUAAAAUACAUGCAUUAGAGCAGGAUCUGUUACUUAUUCAGAAUUACAUUUAAUUUUCAUCGUACUCAAUAAAAUCGAAUUUUGACUAUGACACCAUUCCCUUUUUUUUUUUUUCCAACCUUCCCACUCCCCUAUUACCUUCCUACCCCAAAUCUGCCAAUUAGGAGGAUUACCCUGAUUUACUUACGAGGCGAUAGCUUUCCUAAUAUACAUGCAAAUGUACAAUAUUUAUGUUAGAUACAAGUAGCUUGCGUUGUUAAGGUGAGCUUUAAUUCUAGGGUACUCAUUCUAGUGUGACACUAGUCGAUCGCAAACUUUUCAUUUGAUCACAAAUUCAUACAUACUUUGAAGUUCAUGGCUUAAGUAAUUUUGCUUUAGCAUAUACAUUCUCUGUUUUAAAACUCGAACUGGACCGGCCGGUCGAACCGGUCGAACCAGGAACCGGCCAGGUAGUCGGUCCGAGUUAUAUUAAAAAAUCGGAAAUUUAAAACCGGUCAAAAACCGUGUUUGACCGGGAAAAAAUCGAUUUUUCUGGUUCAACAGUAAUUUUUUAAAAAAAAAUUCAACCUUUUAAUAUUAUGUUUUGACCCCCUAAAUUGUUAAAACUUAUUGAUAUACCUCAAAUAUUUGAUACUUUAUAAAUAUUGUCCUAAAAUUUGAUGUUAUUUUUCAAUUAAAUUCAUAAUUUUAAUUCUAAACUUGUUAAUAUUUAUUAAAUAAUAUAAAUUGCUACUUGAUUGUUCUAAUUUCUUUGUAUUUUCUUGUUAAAUAUAUUUGAAACAUCAAAUAUAUAUGAAUAUACCUUUAUUAAUAUCAAUAUAUUAUUAGAUAUUAUAUAUAUAAUAUUUUAAUUUUUAAAUAAUUUUUAUUUAUGACGUCAUCCGGUUCGACCCCUAUCGACCCCGGUCGAACCCAUUGACCCCUGAUCCCUGACCUCGGCCGAGUCACUAUCCGGUCCGGUUCUGAAAACAUAGUAUACAUUCCGAGUUGAUUAACGAGGGCUCUUAUGUACUCUUGGACGAGCUGCAUAUAUAUUACUACUUUGUACAUUCUUCUUGGGGAGUGUAAAAUCAAAAUUGGUCCAUAAUUAGAAUUUGGCAACUUUUAUUUUCUUAAAGAUGCUUAGAUAAUUGGUAUUAGGAUUCGUUAUAAUUGAUGGUUUUGUGUUAUUAAGAUAAUUGAAUAAAUUAGAGCAUAUAUUAACCUAUCACAGUUGUUGGUAUUGUUUUGCAUAGGUAAUUGAUGAAACACUGCGAGUAGUAAACCUCUCAUUUGCACUCUUUCGAGAAGCAAAAAGUGACGUAGACAUAAACGGUUUGUUAUUACCUUACCUUUCUCUCCUUGUAUCAAUUUUAUUUGGUUGUGACUUUUAAUAAAAGCGAGGUCUCUUAGGUUAUACGAUACCCAAAGGAUGGAGAGUUUUACCAUGGAUCAGGAACGUUCAUUUUGAUCCUCAAAACUACAAGAGCCCAAAAGAUUUCAACCCCUCAAGAUGGGAGGUACGUGAAAGCUUUAAUUUGGUAUUUGUUUUGACAAAUUGUAUCUGUAGAAUAAAUUUUUUUGUUGGCUAAAGACUAGAAGAAGGAAAAAUAUAAAGAAUCCUCAAUUUUGUCUGUUUGAAAAAAAAUCUCAGGAUCCCGCAAUCAAAAUAGGGACUCUGGUUCCCUUUGGAGCUGGUAGUCGGUUGUGCCCCGGUGCAGAUUUGGCCAAGCUUGAAAUUUCUGUCUUUUUACACUAUUUCCUUCUAAACUACAGGUAAAAAUUCGAGAUUUGCAUUACUUUUUCUCCCUGUUUGAGAAGUCCUUUUCUUUUGCAUUGUAGUUUUUAUAUAUCAAAAUUAUUUUUGGCAGGCUUGAACGCAUUAAUCCAGGAAGCAGGGUGCAAUACCUACCAAUUACUAGGCCGGCUGACAAGUGCCUGGCUAGAAUCAAGAAGUUGACAAAGUCAUAUGCAUGAAUUAGUAGUACGCUACAAAGAUGUUGACCAGCUACCGGCUUGUUAUAGUGAUAUAUAAAUAUCUGUAUCUAGAUAUAUAUAAAUUGAAAAUAUGCUUCUUUUCAUCUUUGGUGAUUGUAUAUUCAAAGCAUCCACAUUGGUCUGUAAAUGGUUCUGUGUAUGCUGUCAAAAUUUAAGACCCGUGUGGUGUGUAUUUAUCAGGUAAAAUAAUAACAGCAAAAGAGAGUCUUUUUUUUUCAUUUUUUUUAAAUUUGAAUGAAAGGAUUCGAAUUUAGAACCUCUCACUUACAUUCUUUCGAAUUCAGAACCUUUUACUUACAUUUUCAUUUUUUUUCAUUUUUUUUUCAUAUGCAAGUUAAAAUAUUACUACAAAAUUAAUAGCGAGAUGUUCUUGGCACUCCUUAAAAAGUCUCUAACACUCAAUCUUCCGUUUAUGCUUUUAAAAGGAGAAUGAAGUGUUAGAAACUUUUUAAGAAGUGCUAGUAUCAUUUUAUCUCUGCCAAAAGUAACUUUGUGAUUUGAGUAAAUUUUGUGCUAAUAUCAUUUUAUCUCAAAUCAAAAGUAAUUGUUGUGAGUCUCAAAUUUUAUCUAAAUCACAAAAAUACCAAAUAAGAGCUUUUACCAAAAGUACUUUUAACACCAAAAACUUAAUUCCUAGUUUUAUAGAAUGAUAUUCAUCAAACGCUUUAAAAAUACUUUUAACAUAUAAAAAUUCUUUUUAUCAAAAGUACCGCAAUUUCAAACGAGCCCUUAGUAUUUUUCAAUCAGUCAGCGACUAGAAUGGGCCACCAAAGAACUAGUUGGCUAGAAAUCUUGAUCUUCAAUUUCUUCCAUUUCAUUAUAAGGCCAGGCUUCGAAGCCAUCCAAAAGUUGCAUGACUUCCUAAGAUGUCAACCACAUCUAGAUCAGUCUUUCUUGCAGACCAUUUGUAAAUUAUUUUACACAUGCGGUCACUUUAAUUUCAAUUUCUUUUUUUUUACACAUGUAGAAUUUAUCUAAACCUACUUAUUUAAGAAAAUAUUUUAUUGCUUAAAGGGAUGCAUUUGUAAAUUAUUUUACACUUAUACAUACGGUGCAUGUCACGUCACUUUAAAAUUUAAAUUUAAAUUUCUUUUUUACACAUGUAGAAUUUAUCUUAUACUCUAACUUAUCCCCACAUAUAUAAUGAAUAAUGCACUACAAAAGAUAGAUAUUGCAACAAAAAAAAAAACAAAUUUGUAAAUUGCAGCAACAAAGACAAAGAAAUGGUCUUGAUUACAUGGGGAGAAUGCAUGCAUUAUGUGGAAAGGGAAGAAAUUAAGAAGCCAUAAAAGCAACUUCAAGUAGUUAUCUUUGCGUCGAGAUGAUGGUUCGUUCACAUGAAGUUCUCAGAAUGGUAUUGAUUUCAACCAGUUAGUCCAGGGAAGGUAAAUAUGUAGCAAUACAAGUUUCAAUGGCCUCCUUCUUCUUCACAGAACUUUGUAUAUUCUUUUGAACCCAUUAAGGAUUCCAGUUCUGAUGGGUUGCUGGGCUUUACCUUAAUCAUCCAUCCAUCUUCAUAUGGACUUGAGUUGAUCUUCAUACAUAGCCAAAAUUCAAUACAAAAACGAAUCAUUUUCUUUCUAAAUAAGCUCAAGGGAAUGAUGCAAAUGAAUAAAUAACCUGGUGAUGGAGUAGGGAUGGAAGUGUGAGGAUUACUUACCAAACCAGGGGUCUCGCUGAGCUUGGAGUUAACCUCAACAACCUCACCAGAGAUUGGAGAAUUAACAUCGCUGGUGGCUUUUACACUUUCAACAUUUCCAAAACUUUUGCCUUGGCUAACAACAGAACCAGCAUCCGGCAGCUCCACGAAAACCACUUCUCCAAGAUGAUCCUGAAAAAAUCAUGCCCAAAUUCAACCUUCUUUCACUCUUUAUAUAUCCAAUGAAGGGAACAAUGAUUAGCCCAUCAUCUAUAAAUUUCUAGCUUUCAAGUAAGUUUCGAGUGCUAAUUCUGCAUUUUCGCUAGAGCUAUAUACCUUUUUAUCAAUCAUCAACCUGUACAAAUCAAGCGGAAACUAGAAAGUAAUGCUAAUUGAAGGUGAAAAGAUUACUGACUUUGUUUGAUGAACAAAGAGGAGCAACAGAGUAUAACUCUUUACCUGAGCAUGGUCAGUGAUACCAACUGCAGCCACCGGGCCUUCAUGCUUUACCCAUUCAUGCGAGUUUGCAUACUUAAAGCCUUCCAGAACUGCAAGAUUUAGAAAUGUGUAUCAAUUUUUAGUGUCUAAUAGGAUUCAUAGCUCCUAAACAAACAUUAAACUUACAAAUAAGACUAUCUAUAUAUAUAUAUAUAUAGAUACCAGUAGAAAAGCAUCUGGAGAGAGAGAAAGCAGGAGAGAAGUGAGGUCUGAUGGCAGUGGAGAGUUUUAGUGCAUUGGCUGUAGAAGAAGCCCACAUCCUCAUUGCCAUGUUAUCUUCUUUACGUGCUCUGUGCAGGCAGCUUGGAUUUGGUCGUGUCAAUGAAAAAGUGGAGUUGUUACUAUAUAGUUCUUGUUUUUAUUAUCUCCUAUGAAUGGUGCAAAAUGAAAGCCUCAUCCUUGGGACUAAAUUCUGAGACCAAGUGUGCUAUAUUUAAAUUCACUUGUACUAUAUAUAUUCUAUUACGGUAAAUGAUCUUUUGUUGAUUUUUCUUCUAAAUAGAUAGAUGCUUAUCCACAACUGCCCUAUAAAUGUCCUGGGAUUAAAGUCAAGGACAUUCAUUAUUUCAAUAUAUAUACAUCCAAACUUCAUCAAUGGAUUUUGAUAAUAUACACAAGGAUUAAUCUACACGUAUCACAUUUUACAAAAGAGUAGAUACAUACGAACCGAUCUGUGAUCCUCACACUUUUAUAUGAAAUGAUCCAUAUAGAUAUAGUUUGUAGCAGAAUAUCACUCUAAAAUUAAGUUCUAUGUUCUAACAUAAAUCAAACAACAAAUUAAACAUUAGGUGAUAGGCUUCAAUAACUCAAGAGCAAGUUGCUCCACAUUUAUAUCCAAAGUAAUAUUUUUUUUUUUUAAUUUGAUCUCCUUGUCACAUAUGUGAACAGUCAAAUGUUAAUAGACAAAUUGUGCUUUUAUUAACUAACAUCUUAACCUUGUAUUGGACAAUUUAACCAUUGGAAGUCUUUUAAUAGUUGUUUUGAACAGCCAAAUUAAGAGGAGAUCAAGUGUUACUAGUAAGGCCUCCCGUCUCUCGCCCCGCUGCCUACAAAUUCCCCCCGCCCCAUUCCCGUCCUGCCCCGUCCCGCCCUGCCCCGUUUUUCCCGCGGGGUUAAUAAAAAUUUAUUAUAUAAUUUUAUUAUAGUUAAAUUUUAACAAAUAAUCAAGUACUAAAAUAUCAACACAUCACCAAAUUAUUAUUCAUUGUAAUUUCACAAUUGAAACUUAUAAAAACAAUCAAACAAAAGUUAUUUGAAUACAAUUCAACAUGAUGAAAUAAAUACAACUAAAGUAGUCAAGUUUUCACUUUUGGCACAAAUACAAUCACUAAUUCAUUAUUGUGUUUAUGCUUUUUUUUUUGAGAAAAAAAUGUUAUUAUAUUAAGUGUAAUUAGGGAUUUAGUAUAAAUGUAUUAAUAAAUUUAUUAUGACCAAUUAAUAAUUUGUAUUAGCACACAUAUAUAGUUAUUAGUAUAAUUGAUAAUAUCAAUUAUAUUACAUAUACUAAUAUACAUUAUAUAAUACAUAUAACUAAUAACAUCAUUUUCAUAAGUUUGUAACUAAUUAAAUUAUAUAUUAUAUAUAAUUAUAUAUAUACAUAUUUUAUAUAUUUAUUUUUUUAAAGCGAGUGGCGGGACGGAGGUUCACUCCCCCUCCCCAUUAGCCCCCGCGGGGCGGGUGGCCAUGCCAUUGCCAUCCUUAGUUACUAGAAUAAUGUCAAAGCUAAAGUGAAUAAAACACUAAAUCUUGGGGAGUUUAAACUAAUUAACCAAUAGUUUUAGUAUUAUUGAUUGGUGGUAAUUUUGUCACCACGACAAAAAUUGAGGGUACAAAUUGCAAAUUGCCUGCUCUUGAUUUCCUGCCAUUUUCCCCCUUUGUUUCAACUUGAGCUUCAGCCAUAUUAAAGAUUUUUGUUCCCCGAAUUGGCUGUCGGAUUCCUUUCGAAGUUUGAUGAACUGAUCGGACGAUGGCUGAGAUUGAACAGGACGGUCACCGUGGAAAUGAAAUUGAAGAGAGCAGAAGCAAUUCGACUGCGGAAAUUACUCUCAAAAAAUUGGUCCUUCGCCUCCCUCUCGUUUAAUUGUUCCGUCUUCAAUCAAAGUAAUUGGGAUUUCUUUUAUCUGUUCUAUUUCGAUAGAUUUGUGGAAUUAUUUGUGCUUUCUUUUCUGUGAGCUUCUGUUUGAUGUUAUAUAUCAUUUCUUUGAAUUUUCCUUGUUCGUUAUGGUGUAAAUCGUAAACUUUGUGCUCGAUUUUUUUUGUGGAAAAGAUGAAGGCUUUAGGGGAAAUUAUGAGGGGCGUUGUGUGAAAUUUUUGCAGCUUGCUUUUGAAAUUUGGUGUUCGUGAAUAAAUUUUACGAAAUUUACCGAUGAGGCUUUGAUAUAAUGCUUCAAAAGAUCAAUACUAAGAAAGAGUGUAACAGAAAGGAAUAGGAGAAAAGAAUGAGCAAUGGUUGGGCAAUGUAGCCUGUGAACUUGUUUGAAGUGGAAUUAAACACUUUAUAGUCAAAAGCAGGAAGGUUUAACUCAUGGGGAGCUGAUUUAUCGCAUUUUGACUGAUCUUUGAAUCCAAUUUGGUGUCGCAUUUUGACUGAUCUUUGAAUCCAGUUUGGUGAAGUGUUGUGAUUGUAGUUGUACAUCUGCAAAGUACAUAGAUAUUUUUCAUGAAAUGUGAAGGCCGUCCUUUAGAGGUUGUGACGAAGUUGUGGAUGGGCACUCUUAGUUCUAAUGCGUGGAUUAGAUCAUUUAGGCGUUUCAUUGUAUUGUAAGGAAAUGGCACAGAAGAAAUACAGAAAGAAAAUUAUCAAGUUUAGGGGUCAGAUAUAGCUCUUUCUUUUCAUACUUGAUUAGCAAUAAUAUCUACUAUAUAAGCAGAACUACAAGUUCUGAACAGGUGAAAGAAAUGUGAUAGAUUUUCUUUGUCUGAUUGUUGGGUCCAAGAUAUCUGGUUUUCCAUCAAGUUCUUCCCACUACUAUUUGACUAUGAUGUAGUUUGCAGCCUUAACUACUGGACAGACAACGUAAGAUGUGAUAUGACUUUCUCUCCCUAUAAUUGGUUUAAGGAUGUCCGAUUUUUGGCUGCAUUUUUCCUCUGAGUACCUAAGAUCCAGGGCGCCCUUGGCCUUCUGAUUUUAAGGAUUGCUGUCAGACUUCAGAAUGGUGUCAAAGAAGAUAGUUCUCAGCUUGUUAUAGGAAAGUAAAUGGUGAUAGUUUUGGGCUUGAUUAACUUGCUGCUUCCCUCUCUUGCUUUGUCAUCUUGAACCCAUUGCAUUAGAUAAUUAGCGAGCUGAAGAGAGGAUCUCUUCUUUUUCCUUUUUAAAGAUAGUGCUUGAGGUCAUAAGGCAAACAUGCUUUGUGGACAUGAGAAGAGUUUUAUAAGCAAAGUGAAUGGUGAUAGAUUUGGGCUUGACUAACUUGGGGCUUCCCUCUCUUGCUUUGCCAUCUUGAGCAACCCAUUUAUAGGUAAUUAGACAGCCAAAAAUCGAAUCCUUCUCUUGCCUCUGUAAAGAUGGUGCUUCAGGGCAUAAGACCAAAAAGCAUAAUUAGUGCGUAUGUAAAGAGCUUUAUAGAUGCCUCAAGUUAUUAUUAAGAUAUUAUCACCUUCUGCAGUGGCAAAAGUAUGAUAUUAGCAUUUCAUGGUCUUUUUUUUUUUAGUAUUUCAUGAGUUUAGGUCCAUAAUACUUUGAAAAAAUGACGAGUUAAAACAUGUAUCAUUAAGGAAUUUCAGCUUUUGCAGGUAUUGUUAUCCUUGGCAGUGAUGCAUACAUUUUGUACUUGUGUUGUAAUUCUUCUAUGAGUGUGUCAUAUUUCUCUCUGGUAAUGAAAUUUAAUUGUGUUCUGAAGUUUAGGAAUUUGUUCCAUUGCCCACUUUUAUACCUUUGCCUGGAAUUUGAGUCGUUAGCUGGUUCCAAAUGUUAUGCUUGGUGUCUUUCUGUAACUAAAUUUGUGAGAGGAGUUUUUUUUUUCGCUUCCAUCUUUUGUAUUUAAUAUGUCUUAACGUACUAAAGGAAUGCACUUUCUGUUAUUUCUUUUCCUUUUAAUUAUUUAGAGCAAUUUUGGUUUCAAGUAUCUAACUCUUGAGAACUAAAGGAGGGUAUUUUAACAUGUUAUGCUUGUGUUCUCUAUGCUGCAACAUAGGUGCAUGACUUGAGAAAAUUGAUUGCUCAAAAUGGAGAUUUGCCUAGCGAAAAUCUGACGCUUAUUUGGCGAGGAAAUGUGUUGCAUGACAACAAAAUGGCAAUGAUGUAAUAAUUCAACUAAAGAACGGAGGUCCACUUCUCAAUUCAGCUUCUCUGUUGUUUUAGCCAAAUAGUACCUUUCUGCAUCUUUUUCUUUUGCUGAAAUCCGUUAAGCAUAAACUUUUCACACUAGGGAUUUUGUGUAGGGCGUAUAUUUAGAUACCUUGAAUUAUUGAUAUAACGGAGACAUUGUAAGUUCUGACAAAUGCAUCGUGAAGGAGUGGCAUCUUAAAACUUGGCUAUUUAUUGUUGAUAUGUUGAUACGAACAUGUUACAUAAUACUGCAAUGCUAUCUGCUGAUCCGCUGGUCAAGCCUAUAGACGAAGUGUAUGAUGGAAUCCAUGGUCAGCUGGUGCUUAAGGAACUUAGGUGAUUUUGUACAGUCAUUUAACAGCCUUUCUUUUUUUAUUUGUCUCUUUCCAAUAAAUCAAUUAUUAGAUCAUAAAUUCACCUGAAAUGGCAGGAAAUUUUCUUCACAAUUGUGCAGAUACGCAAUUAACAUGGUGGCGUGAAUAGCUCUUAUUUCAUUUCUGUUUGUUUUAUUUGGGAUGUUUGUCAUUUCUGAAUCCUUUGUUACACUGCUAUGAACCUCAGAGAAAACAUUUUUUUGUGCAAUUGUACGGUUUUGGAGAUUUUGAAUACAGCUUCGAGUAGAUGAGUAGGCUUGUAGGUAAUGUUUAUAUUAGUUUGAUCUUUGGAACAUGAGGAUCCUUUUAAACUGUUGGAAUUUCAGGAAUAAAGGGUUAAACCAGUUUGCUACCCUCAAAUUAGGAUUUGCCCAUCUAAAAAAAUUUGUUUAAAGUUUGCUUACCCCAAAUAGAACUCAACUUUGGUGGAUGUAAAUAUUCCUAGUAGCACAAUUUUGAUUUGUGCUAGUGGAGCUCUCUUAAAAGUAAAGGAAAAAGCUCAAUGUCUAGCAUGCAAAAACCAACAAAGAAAAAUAGUAAAGGAUAAAAGUUCUUAAUGUUAAAUCUGUUUGUCUACUUUGGAAAAGGAUCUUUUUCCAAUUUGGAAAAUGAUAAAAUAUAAAGAAAUGCUACAUUUUCUAAUCUUUUAUCCUACCAUGAAUAAUAUUAUAAAUCAGUUUGUCUAAAGUAAUCAAAGAGUUGUAACAUCUAGAGUCCAUGUGUUUCAUUUGGGGAAAAUGGAUGUUAUUCUGGAUACUCCUAACAAAGAUGUGGACAAUAGAAGUUAGGCCAUGAAGAAUGAUGUUCGUUUCAAAUAUUCAAUUUCUCUUUUGUCAUGUUUUUUUCUAGCGUGAUAACUUUGGUUUCGUAGUUGAGGUUGUCUGGAUUUUCUUUUCGGACACGUCUCACUCUGCUUAUUACAAGUGGCAUUCUUCACUUUUCAGAUUCCUUAAUAGUUGCUACUAAACCAAAACCACCUCCAAAGCAUGCAGAUGAUGGUUUGGAUGAUGACGAUGAUCAUGAACUGGUUGGUAUAAAUCUUUUACUAAUAUAUACAGGCAUAUUUUUUCCUUCUAUUUUUCAAUUUGUCUUGCUUUUUUCUUUAUUUGUCUGUGGGGUGUUUGCACUGUUGUUCUCAGUUUCAUUGUGCUCUGUUUCAUCUCAUUUCUUCUUAUUUCUACAUUUUAGAGGUUUCAACUUCCACAAUCAGUCACUGGGUGGAAAAGGAGACUUUUCAUUGCAUUACGUGAGAAGUUGAAGUUACCCGGUGAGCAUUUGAUUUUACAGUCUUUUUUUUAUAGGGAGUAAGAUGGCAAAGUCCUGAUCAUCUGUUCUGAUUCUGCUUUAACCUAUGUAGAUAUCCUUUUGAUGGCAAUGGUCUCGCUUAGUGUAAAGAUGUGGAUUCUAAUUGUUUUAUGGUUUAUUCUGGCACCUGUUGCCCAAAAAUUGGAUCUUGGCCCUUUAUAUGUAAGUGUUGUUCUCUGCUUCUCUCUUCAUUUGUUUUAGAUUUCUGGUUUCUUUUAUAUCCUAUAAGAUCGAAGUUUACUGUGACUGUGAUAACCUGUAUGAAGAACUAGUCAUGUGCAUGGCAUUCCUGUUUCAUGAAAAUGAUGAAUUUGUCGGCAUCUGAAGGUCAAAAGAUUAAAGUUAUAGUCAAGAUAGCCAUAAUUAUCCUGGCAACAAGACUAGUUAGAUUUUGGUUUGGUUAAAAUACCUAAUGGGUAGUAGAUAAACCAAAUCUGCAUAGAGGGCUCUUUUGGUACUUUCUUUUCUGAAACUUACUCCUGUGGAAGCACAUUGUUGGUAAGUUUUCACAAAUGUCUCGUCAUGUGAACCAAAUUGGAUAAAGCACUUGCUCCAUGUAAUCUUUUUUGAAAAGAGUUUAUAAUCAUAUUUUACCUUACCUAUUGUUGUUAUAUUUUAGGUACUUGCAACAGGGUUUGCUAUUAUCUUCUACAAUCUUGGACAGCGACAACCUGGUGAUGUCAGGUAUGUGCUUGAAACAUUGACUAUUAUUAGUUGUUCUGAUAUUUUCCUGGUGCAUAAAAUUUUUGUAUGUAUCUUACUUAAAAUGAGGUAAAUAUUCUACUUGGAACAGCAAAGUGAAACAAAGCUUGCGCAAUGUGUCAACUGCAAUCUCAACUUUGUUGGAAUGUAAACUUUGAGUAUCAUUGCAUUAGCUAUUUUCGGAUCCGUUAGAAGCUCCUAUGUUUCUGUAGACAGAUUGGAUAUUUUGAAUAAUGACGUGGGAAAUCAAGUAAAAUAAGGAAUUAAGAAAAUCCAUAUCAAGGAAAAGCAACUGUAGGUAGAUUGAGCAAUAGCUUAAGAAAAUUGGAUUAAUCCUCAGAGUUGUAUCAAAGAAGUUUCUACUUUUAUGCAGGGUGUGUGUUCUAUUAUUUCAAAUGUUGUUCAUCCUUGAUGGUAGCAGACAUUAUUCUCUCGCGACAUAGAUGUCCCCGCCCACCCCACAACCCAAAAAAAAAAUCUAUUUUAAAACCUGAAGCAAAUAAAAACAUUCAUGAGGUUGCAAUUCAUGCAUAUGCCUUAAAUUUUCUCAUCUAUGCCCUGAUUUGCAAUUUCUGCUGUGGCUAUUACCUUUUUUCUUUAAAUUUUUAUUUGGUGGAAGUGGGUGUACUAAGGCCACCCAACAUUUGAUUUUCUGUUGAUCCUCUAUGUUCAGCAAUUAGAUAGGUUUCAAACCAAUCAAUCAUCAAUCAACAGCUCAAAUGUAUCAACUUUGGGAAUUGGCCCUUGGCAAAGUUAUUGUGUCCUUUCCUUUGCUUCCCUUUCUCUUCAUGUAUGCUGAGAGAUUCUAUAUCUUCUCGCAUCUUUGUGUGUUCAAGUAGUCUUUUGCUUUUAUGAUUUCCCUUUAUCAUCAAAUCAUACAGGUUUGGAGUUGUACAGGGUUUUUAGUCUCUAAUAUCCUUCACUUCUGCAGUGCAUAUUCUAUCUUCAAUGAAGAUUUCAGGGAACUUCCGGGGACCCUUAAUGCUGAGCGCCUAGACAGAGACAUUCGAGCUGGUCAAUUUUGAGUGAGAUGUAGUCGGCAGUGUCAAAUUUUGUGCCAUCAAGAUACGUGUGCGAUAACUGUACAGGAAACAUGCUAAUCCUUAGCUUAUCUCUAAUUGAAAAACUGCAAAUCAAUUUUUUGUGCUGACUAAGAUAAAGCUACUUUGGUGGUGAAAUUUGCUCUUAAACCCAGGUGGCUUGUCUCUCCACUAGUUUCUUGACCCCCAAAGAGCUAAACUUUGUUUGCAUCUGUUUAGCCUUUUGAUUAGCAUUUUUUCUACCACAAUGCACUUCUUUUUUUUUUUUUCCUUUAAGAAGAUCGACUUGCUAAACCAAAUAUCUUAAGAUUUUGGGUCAUGGAAUGAGUAGGGUAAAGCGUGCCCUUUUUUUUUUUUUUUGCUUCCUUUUUCCUGUUUCUCCGGUUUGACAUGUAAAUGCUCACAAUCAUUAGCUUACUGAUUUAAUUGCAUAAGCUUUUAGACAACAAUUUUUGUCAUGGUACAUCUUGAACUUUUUUGUCUCAACUCUCAAUAUAUAGCACACUCCAAAUAAAGAUGUAGAGCUGGAAAAUUAAAGCUAUGUUUGGAUUGCAAUUUUCCAAAGAAAAUUUGCUACUUUUUUCGCCGACAUAUUUUUUAAUCGUUUUUUACUUCAUAUAUAUCAAAUCGUUACAAUAAUUUUUUUAUAAAAAAGUCCAGAAAAAUGCAAUCCACUGCAAUUAAACAACAUUAGAGACACAUUUUAUAAUGAAAAUGUGUAAUAUGAGAUGAUUCAUCAUUCAAGAUUCUUUUCAAAUUUCAAUUGCUUGCCUCUGAAUUUGUUAAUGUAUACACAUCGUUGGUAUAUGCAAAAUUAACUCUGACGCAGAUAAUCUUAUUUGGUACUAUUCAUUUUCAUAGAACGUUGAAAAAUUCUCUGUCAUCCAUACUGUUUAGUUUCAUAAAAUAUUGUAAAAUUUGUUAUCACCCUUAUGUUAAGAAUUUCUAUGUGUUCUCAAUUUCACUCUUGGGUCAGGAAGCCUGGCUGUGACUCUUGCUCAAUGGGCUUUUGGACAUAAUAGGAAUAGAUACUGCUUUACUUUCUAACGCUGUUCUCUCAUGUCUUGGUAAUGCUUAUACUCUGGACUUCUUCUUCUUCAAAGCUCAACAAUUGGUACUAAAAUGCUAGGAGCCCAUGGCCAUCCAAUCAUUAUUUUUGCCCAAGAUGAUUCAUACAGAAGAAGGACAUCAUAUACUUUUCUCAUGCAUGAAAUUUUAUUUUCCUGAGGCACCGCAAUCUUUCCUACUGUGUGUGUCCUUAACCUAGUUUUAAAUCCUUCUUAAAGACCAUAAAGUCAAAUAUAAAAUCAUGUCACAUGACUUCCUUCCCUGUCAUUUUUUUGUGGAUUUGUUCAACGGAUAUUCAUCAAUCAAUGGUCCAAGCAUUACCUAAGACUGCUAGAACCCACUCAUUAGAAAAAAAUCUACAAAAGAAACAAAGACACGGUUUACCUAGUGUCAGUACGAGCAAAUUAUUUCGAUGGCCACCAAACUUUUGGAAUCGUCGUGUUUUGAUUAUUGAACUAUUAAAUGUUUGAUUUUGAUCAUUGAAUCAUCUAAAAUUUAGAUUUCAGACCAUUUUGUUAGAUUCAUCAUUAAAUAUGACAGAUCUGAAUAUUCACACGAUUCACGAGACAAAAUAAAAGGGCAUAGUUAGCGAUAAAAUCUGACGAAAUGACCCGUAAUCAAAAUUUUAGAUAAUUCAGUAACUAAAACCCACCGAUUCCAAAAGUUCAGUGGCCACCCAAAUAAGUUGUUUUGUUAGUAAACAUGUAAAGACCAUUGAUUUGUGCUUUUUUCCUUUUUUUUUUUAGUUGAAUUACAGUUAGCUAGCGAGUCUUCUUGUCAUUUUGUACACUAGAACCAGACUUUCUUUGGAUUGUGAUUUGUUGGAGAAAAAUUUUUUCGUUUUUCAUGAAUAUCCUUUCUAUGUAAUUUUUAAUCAUCUCUUCAUCUCGCGUAUAUUAUAUCUUUAAAAAGUGUUGCAGUAAUUUUUUUUCCCCGAAAACGCUCCAAAAAAAAAUGCAAUCUAAACGGGCUCUGAGUGAACAGAGAUAUAUUUCUGAAUAAAGGAAUCAAAACAAAAGCUUUUCUCUGGGCCAUUCUGCUGAUCCAAAAAAGAAAGAAAAGAGAAAGUCUUCGCUGGACACGCCAUUUUAGUACUGUGAUGAACACUGAUAGCUCAUGGCAGAGGGCCGUGACAAGAAAAUCGUCCUCAGGUACUUUUCCAUGGAUACAAGCAAAGGAAAAGGAUAGAUCAAAUCAUCCCUUGACCAUCUGCUUUUACAAGUUUCGUAAACUACCCAAGACCCUCACAUUCUUCCAGGCAAAAAAAGGGUCAAAAGAGUUCAUUACACAUUUGCAUAUACAAAUAAUGACCUGCUUUAACAAUUAACAACAUAAUUUCAAGCUAUAGCUUUGUUUGUUAAUUACUCACUAUUUUUCGAAAACAUAUUUUAAAAAAAAAAAUUCAAACAUGUUUCUUAACCCCUUUUUUUAUUCACAAACAGGUCUAUCAAUUAAUAAAGGCACUACAGUAAAAGGUAUCUAUAAACGCCUUACAAAACAAACAUCCAAACAGUUGCGCAUUUGGAAGCUCUCUAAGGAUAAUGGAACUAUAUUGUCAGCAGAAUAAGUAAAUCAACAUAGGAUACAAGUUAGGUGCGAUUUUCACAAUUGUAGACAACUAACUAAUAUUUGUGUCUUAUUAUCUUCUUGAAGGCGUGUAGUAGUUAAUUGGCUAAGAUGCAAAACCAUUUUUUAAACUAGGUUCUUAUCCUCUAGAAACUAGUUAGGUUCUUGAAGGCAUUUGUCUUUUGUUAAUUGAAAAAUUCACAAGGGUUUCAUUCAUAUUGGACAUUGACAACUUUUAGCUCCAAAAACCUUAGGUGAAGCUUGUCCUUGCAUGUAUACAUACACAAAGAAAGAAGAAAAAAGAAACCCUUAAUCGAUCACAAACUUUUGAGCUUUUAUUUGUUUAUUAGCACAUGAUCAGUAGUAUAUAAACAAAAUAUCACUUAAAUCUUGCUAAGGCAGAUUAAUAUUGUAUUAAGGGCUGCUACUCAUAGGAAAAAAUGGGACUAAUUAGAUGAGGCUUGUGAAUGACAAAGACAAUUAAGAAACUAAUUACCACUUACUUUGCGUGUUUCAACUUUCAAUUAGUUGAGGUAUAUCUAGUUGUUGAUUUAAAAAAAAGGGUUCUCAAUUGUCGUAAACGUUAGACACACUCUAGAAGCAAUAUGAAUUUAAAACUUAGUGUAUAGUGAAUGCUAAGGAAAGACUUUUGCAUAAAAUACACUUUCUUUUGGAGACUUGGAGGGCGACAUGUUAUAGGUUCUCGAAUUGUUCCAACAAGAAAUUCAAUGUUCUUUAUUUCAAAGUGAUUGAGACGUGGCUUCAAAAAAGAAAAAAAAAAUUUUGGAAGAAACUAGAAGUUCUCAAUUAUUAGACAUGAAAAGUUGGCAUCAAUGGCCUUGAUAUGAGCCGCCAUGGAUGCUAGCAGCCUAGCACCUUCUUUUCCUCUUCUUCCCUUCUUUUUUUUUUUUUUGGCGAUUUUGAAUCAAAAAUGGAGGGAGACUCCUCUCUCAAAGAUUUCUCUUUUUGUAAAACUAACCGGUAAGUGCAUAUGGUUGCGCUAAUUCCCUUUCAAAUUUCGUCUUUGGUAUUUUCAGUAUUUUACCACUUUUUUGCUUUUCAAGGGAGGGUGGGAUUGAGAAAGAAUCAGAUGCUUUACUCUAGACGUAUUUUUCAGGGCAAGAAAAGUCUUUAUGAUAGAUUUUCAAAAAUCUUCUAUGCCAUCAAAGAAUUCAAGAAGUCAAAAUUCCUUCUGGGCAAGGCAAUGAGUUUGAUUGACAAUCAAGAAGUAGCUUCCUAAUAUCUUGAAUUUUCCAUCGUAGCUGCAUAUUCUUCUUUCUUGUGCUCAGUUUGAAAAAAAAGGCCAAGUUAGAGAAACUCAACAGUGUUUCAAAUUUUAAAGAAACAAGAAGGAGUACUAAUGAAAAUGGAUGAGGGAUUAGGUAGUUGACCUUACACUUAAUGAUGAUUCUAAAUGACUCCACAAAAUCUUUACUAGGUAAUCCAUCCCAUCCCACAAUUUCAUCAACAUUCAACUACUUUCUUAUGCUUAACUAAUGCCAGAGAAUUCCUGUGUGUCUUCCAAAGAAUAAGAUAUUCGAACUAAUCAUGGAAGGAUGUCAACACAAAAAGAAAAUGACUCGAGAAAACUCCUAAGCAACCACUAAGCCGUACAUCCAACAAGCACAGAUAUAAGAGGUAUAAAGCUACUACUAUGGAGAAAAAAAUUAAAAAGGGUAAAAAUUAUCAAAUGCAGGAAGGAAUCAUGACACAAAAAAGUAAUUAGCAGGAUAAACAGACUGAUUGACUGAUUGAUCACUUUUUCAAUCACCUUUUAUCUCACGUAAAACCGUGCUAUUAUAAAGUGUUACAGCGAACGAAUAAAAAAUACAAUCAAACAGUCCAAACGCCCGUAUGGAAAAGCCGAAUUGGUCAAUGCCAAGUCAAUCAGAUGUGGAUGCAUUAAAGUAAAACAAAACAACAUCAAAUGAAGAAGAUAAUUUUUGCGUUUGAAAGGAACUAAAAGAAAAGCAGAAAGGUAGGGCUGUGAAGACAUGGAUAAUCAGCAUCAGUGGUAGUUGCAUUGCCGGUCCUCGACGGCACGUAACAAAAUAUACGUUGUAGUAAUAGUCAACACGUAUAUAUCAAGAAUUCUUCUAAUUUUCUCAUGGAAAAUGCACUGGACCCCAAGCUCACCUACUCAACCCUCGUCCCUCAACAACAUCCACUCCACUCUGAGUAGUCUUCAUGAACUACUCCUCCAGGAGCAUUAUAACUUUUUCGUAGUUAUUAAGAUUUGUUGGGAGUUUUGAUUGUUUUGAAUUCGCCCAACUAAUUCGAAGUAGAUGUAUCAUACCUCAAAAACUGCACACACACACAUAUGUCUAUAUAUAUAUAUAUAUAUAUAUAUAUAUACACUCUAAUUAAAUAAAUUUAGGCAAACCCAUAUCUGAUCAACUAGAUUAAAAUCCAAAAUCAUUAGAUAUCAUCCCUAAAUAUAAUUGCGUACACUUUUUUGGAAAAAAAAAUACCCUCUCAUGAGAAAAGAAAGAAAAAAAAGGAAUGGAACCUACUUUUUAUCAGGUGCCCUUAAAGAAAACCCAAAAAAAAAAAGGAUCUUAUGAAACAUAUAUAGAUGCAUGCCUUUUUAAUUAGAAAAUGAUAUUAACACUUCUUAAAAAGCCUCUAUCCAGUGGCGGAGUUAGGAAUUGCAAUUAGGGGGGGCGAGUCUCUGUUAUUUGGACCAAGUUCAAAUAAUUUUCAAACAUUAUUGUUUGGGUUCUUGAGAGGGGGGCAAAGUGAAAUUUUUAUCAAUAUUUGGGGGGGCAAAACAAUAUAAUAAAAAAUUUUUUACUUAGAAAUUUUUUUUAUAACAAUUAGAGGGAGGGCAAAGUGAAAAUUUUUAUCAAUAUUUCGGGGGGGAACAGUAUAUCUUCCUUUUAAAAGCAUACAGGAAAGAUGAAGUGUUAGAAACUUUUUAAGGAGUGCCAACAACAUCUAGCUAUUAAUUUUGUAGUAAUAUGUUAAAUUGCAUAUUAAAAAAAAGAGGAAAAGAUGUUUUGUUUAAAUACCACAACUUACUGAGAUCACACAGUCUGAUCUUUUUUUCUUUGUUAUAAUGCUACGAACCCUUAUCUUCUAUGUAAUCACUCAUCUACCCACUAGGCUAAUUGAGUAAUUAGCUGAAUACUCAUGCUCUUAAUCUAUUAUUAACGUAGUUAUCUUUGGGACAAAAUCUUCCAUAAUUCAAAUCCAAAAAGAUAAGAUUGCGAGAAAAUGAUGGUUAUUUGAACAAUAAGAUCAGAUAAGAUGAAAACCUGCAUGAUUAAAAAAUCAAGAAAUGAUUUUAAAAAAAUUACCUUUUUUGAACAUAGGCAGUACUAUGUGGUGCUCUUGAACAUUUUCUGCCUUGCAACUUUACCUUUUUCCUGUGGAUAGAUAAAACUUUUACUUCAUAAUUUGAAUCAAAAAGCCAAAAUAAAGUUAAAGAGUUGAAAGGCAGAUAAAAGAAAAAUGUACUUGUACGUUGUUUAUCUAAUAUUGUCAAUAAAAUGCAAAUGUUAUUCCCAUUCAAAAUUUAUUGAACGGUCAGCUUAAACAGUAAAAUUUCUGUAUUAAGUACUAUAAAAGGAGAAUUUAAAAUAGUAAAAUUUCUGUAUUAAGUACUAUAAAAGGAGAAAUUAAAAUUAAAGAAAGUCCAAGGAAUCCAUUAUUCUUGCUCAUUAUUGUUUAAAAAGACAUACGCAUCUACAGACUAUAGCCAAGAUUCUCUAACGAUUUAAAUGCCAACUUUAUUAUAUUUAUUAAUAAACAUAUUUGCAUUAUUAUAUUUAUGGAGACCUUUACACUUUUGAUUAUCAAGUCAUAAUUUUUUAAAAAUAUAAAAACUUCAAUAUAAUUUAAAGUUGUAAAUUUUUGUUCUAAAGAACAAUAGACAAGUUCAGAAGAGAUAGACAACUUUAAACCACAAAAGCUAGUACUUUAUUUAAGGACUACUAGAUGAUUCAUACUUACGCUGCACUUAUAAAUUCAUUAGUCUUAGGAAUUUGCUUCGUUUUUUGUAGUACAAAAUUUAAGAAUAAUAUAAGAGUGGGAAAAGCUUAGCGAAUUGAAUAAACAAAAAAAAAAGUGGCAGUGAAUGUAAAGACAGGUAAUUUUGUUUCUUAGAGUCUAUAUAUAUGAAAAUAGUUAUUUUAAUCAGAGUUGUUUCUCACUCCUACGUGGCAUGCCUAAUUGAAAAGAAUUAACAGGUUAUGGAUCACCAAGAUUUUACCCAUAUUAAAUCCUAAUUGGAUUACAUUAUCUAUUUAAAAAUUAUCUCUAAUUUUAAAAUAAUUUUAAAAUAUAACUAACCUUAUCUUAAUGAUAUUAUUUUAAAAAGAAACUAAUCUUAUCUUAUCAUAAUGAUUAUGCUUUCUAUCAAAUUAUUACAUAUAGAACUAUAGUAAAACCUUUUCUCAAAACACAAUUUAAAAUCUUGCGUAUCCCAAAUUACUUCCUUUCACCACCAUACAUUUAAUUAGUAUUUAAAUUGUCCAUCAUUUCUUUCCUUAAUUUUGAAUUAACUUAGUAUAAGAAAGAGAAUUAAUUGUUACACCAAUAUGUUUACCAAUAUUUUUUGAAACUAAAUAUUUAUUGAUGAAGAAAAAUGAAUUGCUAGAUUUUUUCUACUUAAUUAAAUAAGAAUAUAUAGUUCUAUGUUUGUGGUCAUUAUAAAAUUUAAAUUAUCUAAAAGAAUAUUUGUAAAAAAAAAAAUAUCUACCAAGUUUUUGAUAUGGGUACAUGAUAUGAGGUAUACUAUCAUAUUAUAGUGAAAGUAUGUAAACAAAUUUUUAAAAAUUAGUAAAUGAUUGAAUAUUUAGAAUACAUUAAUUUUUUAAAGUUAAUAUAGAUGAACAUGUAGGAGUGUUUUUAAAUUAUUUAUAUUUGUGUAAAUUCGCAAUAAAUAAAAAAAGACUAGGUUAAGGCAUGGGCAAAAUUCUAGUAUGUUAUGGGUUUUUGUAUCAUUGCAUUAAGCAAAAGGGAAUGCCGAAGUGCUUAGAACUUCAUUUAGAGGGAUAGUACUAUUGAAUUUAGAGAAAUUAAAGUAAAAUAUGAUUAUAGCAGCUAUAGUUGUUCUAUUUCUCUUUGUUGAUAAUAAGCAUUAUAUGAGGGAAGGGAUGUAUUGGAUGGCAUGGGAGGAGGAAAUGUAGUUCAGAGAUCUUGAGAGUUCGAAACUCUCUGCUUACACAAAGAAAAAAAAGAAAAAUAAAAAGCAUAACAUGACCUAUUUUUUCCUAGGUAAGUCCACGUUAAAGCAAGAGUGGCAAUUGAUCUUCCCCAAACUUUGAGAAUUUUAUUUUAAAUUGGCUUAAACCAUUUUAGGUUUUGAGUCUUUUUCUAUAACAGCAGCCCCUAAAAUUUUAAAUUAUUUUGACAUUGACCCCUCCCUCCCCAAAUUCUUGAAGUUUAAAAUCAUCAUCACCUACUUCAAAAAUGACAGCACAUUUAAAAUGACAGCCAAGUACUACUUCAAAGCAAAAGAGAGUUUGAAAACUUUUACUACAUAAAAGAUGAACCUAAAAGCUUCGGUCAAUUCAUUUUUCAAUUAAAAUAGUAGUCUAGUGUACAAAAAAUAAUUUUCAUGUGGGUGUUUUAAGACUUUUAUCCUUCCAACACUCUUUACAAUUGGUUAUCCAUAAUCACAUAUAAAAAAAUUUUACUUUUGGUUGUACUUGUAAUGUGUUGUAUUGUACACCAAAAUAUUUGACCCCUCUUAAUCUUGGGUCCUAGCUUUGCGAGUAAUUGACUAAGUAUUACCUUAAUCGUUGAAAAGUAAAACCAUUUCCAGAAUAAAGGGGAACCCGCGGAUUAAAAAACGAGUGAGAGAGGAAAAAUCCACCAUCCAUUGCUUGGAUUAUGGGAGGAAAAGUAAACGCUUACUUCGCUAGCAAUCUUUCUGUGUUAGGUUUUAAAUGAUGACCAUUAACACUAAGUCAAUACUCAAUUAGCCAAUUAGGUGUGCUUUUAGAGCUGCUCAGGUACACAAACUCUAUAAUUAUCGGAGAGGACAAUAAAUUAUUUGCUUUUGCAGAUAUUGACAAUAGAAAUGCAGCAAUCACACUUUCUUUCUUUCUUUCUUUCUUCAUUUUUAUGGGGGUUUUUUCUUUAUUAUUGUUAAGGUGGCAAAGGCACUUCUUACCAAGAAGGGUUUCUUUAUCAACAAGGAAAAUAAACCAAAAAAGAGACAGAGAGAGAGACAGAUUUAUCAAGUAUAUUGAGUCAAUAGAAACAAUAGAAAGAAGCUUAAAGAGUCUGUUUGGAUUGAAGAUUAUUUCACUUUAUUUACACCUUAUUUACACACACUGAUUUGUUUGCAUUAUCAACAUAUUUUCCAAUCACCUUUUUAUCUUACAUACAUCAUAUCAAAAAAAGUGCUACAGUACUUUUUCACAAACUCUUUAUUUCUUUAGCGAUGUUAUUCUCAAAAACACGCUUUUGAAAACUUUGAAUAAAUCUUUCAGUCACUUUUUUUUUAAUUUCAUUUUCAUAUAUGUGUGUUUGUGUUUGUGCAUAAAGAUAUUAUGACAAGAAUGGAGAUUUUUUGGCUAAAGAUGAUACGAAUUCACUUAGGGGAGUAAAUGAAUUUAAUCAAACCAAACAUUUUAAUGUUAAAUCUUGUUUAAUUAUUUUAAUGAACUUGAAAUUUAUAUAAAUCUUAUAUACAUUGACAAUGUAUAUAUUAUUAUAAUUGAAUGUAUAACACAUGAACAAAAUUAAAUUUAUAUUCAGAUGCUUUGUUAUGCAUCGAAUAGUGAUGAUGUAUACGCUAUCAAUGUAUAAGGAUUAAUCGUUAAAAUUUUAUUCAAAUUUGAUUUAUUUAUUAUCGAACCAAAUUUGAACGAACUUUUUAUCAAGUUUGAAAGAUAACGAUUAUAAAAUUAUAUCCAGUUUUGAUUUAACUAGUUAGCAAAUCAAGUUCAACUAAAUUUUUACUAAAUCAAAUUCGAUUUGAAUAUCAAGUAGUUUAAUUCGUAAAUCAACCCUAAAUCCAUUAAUCAAAUGUACUACCGACUGUACCGCCAAGGAAUGGUUGGAAAGGUUAAUAAAAGAGAUGUGAAGCCCGACAAAGAUGAGAUCAUUUCAAACUUCAAAGAAGACGUCCCAUUUUCACACAGAUAAAUAGUAUACUAAUAUAAUUGGAUUGAUGGUCCCAGGGAUCUCAUCUGCUCGUUGACCAACUCAUUGAAUUAUGGGCCCGUUUUCCAACUACAUCAGAACUUGUGAUAUUCUAAACCUAAUCAACUCGCUCCCACCAUUACUAGUACAUUAUUACCGAGUACAGCAUAUUAUUCUAAUCUCGCCACCUUGAUUUCUCAAAAGAGCCAAACUAAGUUGAUUUUUUUGGUAAUCUCACAUGGGCACACUUUUCUUUUUAUUUACUCUGAGAAAUCUAGGUACAUCAUUAACUCAUGAGUUCUCAUAAUUUGAGUUUGAAACACGUUUAAUUGAUUCAAUGUGAUCAUGCAAUUAUAGGUGAAAUCGAACCGAACUCCAUUAGAUUCUUUAACCGAAAAUAAUGAACUUUUAUCGACACCUGCUCAAACUUUUUGUUUGGUAGCACUAAUAUUUUGUUUUGAGCACUAAUAUUUUAUUUAGUUAAACUACGUUAAUUUUCUUUGUAUUUGUUUAAGAGGAUCGACUACUUUAGCUACAUACCUUAAUAAUUUGUGGUCGUGGAAUUUGUGUAAAAUUGACGAUUAGUCAAUGAAAAUUGAAUGAGCUAAAGUAUACUCUUUUUUUUUUUUUGUCGAUACUUGGUGUCCAGGUCAAUCCUUACGCGGCUCGACUAAUUCCCUGUGGCUAGGACCCGACGCCCAACCCGACCCAAGCACGAUAAGUGCGCGGAGGAAUUCAGCAGAGCUAAGAUAUACUCAAUUUUCUUGUAGAUUCCUCGAUUUUCUACUAUUUUAUAUACUUAGAGUCGUUCUGCUCAAUGAUCUAAGUACAUAAGCUCUUAGAUAACAAACAUGUCUUUCAAUAGUUUUUUUUUUAUUUUUUAACCACUUGUUUCAUCUCACAUACAUUAUAUUCAAAAAAAGUGCUAUAUUAUUUUUCAAAAUAUUAUUUCAAAUAAUCUUCUAUCCAAACACAUAGAUUUGUCGUGGUAUACUUUGAUAAUUUUUUGUGUCAGUAUAGAUCACACUCUAGAUAAAAGAUGUAGAAGAAUUGGAAAAUUUAAAUUAUACAAUUAAGUAACGUCAAGCAUGCAUACUUUAUAACAAAUUAAAGUGCAAAAAUCCAUAAGCUUAUAUGAAUCUCCCAAAUGUUAAAUUCCUCGACUUGAUCAAUUCUCCAAUAUAUAAGGCAUGACCACAUUAUGUGUUAACAACACAUAGUUGUAAAUUUUGUACACGUUCUGCUGUAUCAUUAUUAAAAUGGGUAAAGUGGUUUGAAGUUAUUGACAAAUAAAAAAUAAAAAAUCUCAAUAUUUACGAUUAUUUAUUCAACAAAUAUAAACUAAUUCUCCAAUUUUUCAUUGUAAACCUUUUAUCAUCGUUAGUACCAUUUUAUCCAUUCGAAAAACACAAUUAUCAAAACUCGGAGGCUAAUCCCCCGAUGGUAAUUUCGCAAUUAAAUAUUUUUACGAUUUAGUGCCUAUUUUAUAUGAAUUGUCGAACAUGUAAAAUACAAAAUAAAAUUGGUCUAAUUAUUCAAUAUGAAUCCUUAGAAUAUGCUCUAUCACUUUCACGAGUAUAAUAGAUAUAUAAAAUUUAUGCAUGUAUGUAUGCAUAUGAAAGUUCAGAAUUGGCAUUUUGAAAGGAACAUAAAGAAAACUGGUCUCCAGAAAAUUUGACUCUCAAAAGUCUCGUGCCCUUAGAUUCUUAUACAACGUCUAAAGCUAAAAGGCUGGCAAACAUCUCCUCCAAUAUGCCAAUCAAUAAGCCAAGAAUAGUAAGGUAAAUUCCAAUUGAGGGCUACAGGAGCUUUCAGUUUUCAAUUUUUUGUCAUUCACCGUUCACACGUACCGCGUGACACCAAACAUGCCCUUGUCCUUUACCCUCCAAGAUUUCGCGCUGCCAACAAACUCUUUGACUUCUCAGAAAGCCUUUGAUGAAAGCUUCAUCACUUCCCGCCUUCACAUGUAAAAUUCCCUUGCCCCUCAAUACCCUUACCCCACCACCUACCAUAUGCUUUUGCUGCCUCCUUUUUUUUUUUCGCCCUCUUGAAUUUUUAACCUAAACAAUUUAGGUCUCAUUUGAUCUUUCCUCCAAAAUAUGUCUACUAGCAGAGUUAGAUUCUGAAUACCACCCUUAAUAAUAACUAGUCACUUUUGAAGAUUUUAUCUAGAUUAUUUCGUUUUUUUCUUAUCUUUUCUUUGGUAAGGAAAAAAAUAGAAAUAGUCAUUUGAUCUUUCCUCCAAAAAAAUUUCUGGAUUUUUUUGUAGAAAAAUUACUGUAGCGAUUUGAUAUAUAUGAGAUAGAAAGGUGAUUGAAAAAUGUGUUUAGAGAAAACGUAAUCAUUUUUCUUUGAAAAAUUGCUUUCCAAACAAAGUUUAGUUUUAGGGGAAAAAAAAAACUUAGAGGAAAAAAAGACUCGAAAAUCGUACUAGGGAAUUCAUAUUUUACUUAGUUAAUAUAUCUACCAGCUGAUUUAGAUUAUGAAUACCCUCAAUAAAUUAUUCACUUUUCGUUACUUCAUCCCGAUUAUUCAGUCUUUUAUCUUUUCUUCGGUAAGAAAAAGACAGAAACAAUCACUACGUUAGAGGGUAAUCAUGUCAUUUUAGAAUGUUUUACUUAGCAAUGUUUACUUGAUUUCAAUAGGUAAUCACAAUCACCAUAAUACUAAUAAAAAGUGCAGUCCUAGAAGCUACUUCAAUCUAAGUCACAUAGAAGUUUCAUUAUCAUCUACUAUGUUGUUUCAAGGAAGUGAUGUUUCAAUAGGAAAACUAAUCUAUAUUAUUACGUGUUAAUUUUUGUCCAAUUAGGAUAAUGGAGUGUUUUUCUAGCAUGUCCACAAAAGUCCAAGGUGGGACUUCACAAAAUUAAAAUAUUACUAAUUGCAAACAAUUUUCUUGCUCAACCAAACAUGCUAAGUUACUCUUAUCUUCUAAUAAUAAUUGGAUAUAUAUUAAUUCAUAAGGAAGAAUAUUUUAGUUGAUUGAUGGAAACGAGGGAGUGAAGAAUAGAGAGAGAGAGAGAGAGAAAAAAAAAAAGGAAGAAAAGUUGUGCCCUUUGACUAUUAGACUAAAAUGUGGAUUAUUUUUUUUGUGAUUGUAAUUGAUGCAAUCUAGGCCGUUGAAUUCCUGUUGAAAUUCUGAUGCAUUUUAGGUACAGCGUGGCAUGAAAGAUACCCGACCAGGAUCCGUGAGCAGCAGGGUUAGAUGCCUGACGGGGAAGGGGGAUGGCGAUAUAUAAUAAUCCGUAUUUAUAUGUUUACGCAAAUUUUGGGCCUCUGUCAAGUCAAACCUACGGAUGUAGACGGCCCAAUAAGGGUGAUUCCAGUUUUAAUGACGCAAUUGCCCUUCUAGAUCAUUAUUAAUUUUUUUUUAUUUGUUAUGUUCCAUUUUUUGCUUAGAAUGGAUACCGAGACUUUGUUUGUAUCUUAACUUUCAAGACAUCUCAAAAAACUUCUAUUUUCUAUAAACGACUAAACAUUUUGUUAUUCACGUUGCGUAUUGUAAGGGAAUAGCAUUAAAUUACGUUGCUUUUGACAAUAUGCAAGCUUAACUUCCUUUUUCCAUUCAUACUUAUUUCUUACUACACUAGUUUCUUGUUGAAACUUUGUUAAAUAGUCUAACUUUUGGACUUAUUCCCGUUUUGUGCUUUUUGUCUUGUCCACUUGUUCUUUAUUUAUGCAAAGUGUAGUAUACAUAUAUUGUCAUUAUCAGUCAAGAUAUGUUUUAAUACGUGUCUAUUUAAACGUUCUAUGACUAUUAACCAGACACUUCCAUUUUUAUGUAAUUUAUAACAGUUUUCAUUGAAUUUUGGAAAUAUUUCAAUACUUUCCCUGUUUACAAUGCUAAAAGUCGAAUUGUUAAUUCUUUUUUAGAAGUCACGUAUCCUUUCGUUUAAGAAUGCCAAUUACAAUUCGGCCAAAUAAUCUGUCUGACAACAUUAAGAAAAAAGGGUCUUAUUUUGUAUACUUAUUUUUCCAAAAAUAACAUCUAUGUGACUGUAAGCCCUCUUUUAUGUAUAAUUAAUAAAGAAUUUGCAUAUAACCAUCUAAAGAGGGGGGAAGGGUUGGAUUGGGUAAUAAAUUAGAAGAAAUUAUAAGUAGAAAAUCUUGAAUUAAAAAAUCUUUCAUAACACACACACAUAUAUAAUAUAAACCAUCAAAGAAAAGAAGAGUCAAUAAGAUUCUAAAGAUAGAUUGCAACUUCUAACUUUUGCUGCUCGAUAACCACAUGCAAGAUGACAAUAUGAACAACAAUUGGGAUAUGCACAUUCUAGUUUCAUAGAAUUGCAUAAGACAAACCUUUUAGGAUUCCAAAACAUGGGAGGGCUUUCGCUGUCAUCCUAAAAUGUGAAACUAAUCACGUAGUACACAUUAUAGUCAAAAGACAAACCAAGGGUAGAACCGUCCAACAAACGAAGACCACACAGUGUGAAUUUUUAGCUUUCAAUAUCACAUAUAGGUGACGGUCAAGAGAGCAGCGACUCUCAGAAAAAUGGGUUGACCUUUGGGCUUUACACAAAGUCAGUUCCCAUUACACUAUAAAAACUAACGACAAAACACCUCAUAAAGACAAAAUUUACCCUCUGUCCUUCACGUUGACCCUACUCCGCUUUCCUUAAAGUUCGCAAAUUAAUGUGUCCUCUUCCGUCAUUCCCUCAUUCCUCCAGCCCCAUUUUUCGUCAUUCGUAAAAAUGUCCCGCACCCUCGCUACUGCCGCCUGGCUCGUCUCCUCUCCUUUCUUCUCCCAACAUUUCAAAUUUGCCAGGUCAUCGCCCCCCAAGUAACAACCAAAUAUGUAGAAUCUCUUGUUCUCUACUUCCGGUUUCUCAUGGACCAUCGCAGCCCUCCAAUUGGAACGUCCAACGUCUCUAUUUACUCAGCAAAAGAUGAGGGAAACAAAUUUUAGUAUCCAAUCAACUGAAACGCAAUUACUAUUAUGAUAAAAUCAAGUUUCUAAUUAAUUAUUUUCCAUAAUAUGUUUGUUAAGUUUAACUUGAACUCAAAUCAACGAAAAUUCAGUUUGAUAAUUACACGUAAACGUCGUUUGAAUUUGGCUUAAAUAACUUUGAAUCUGAAAAUUCUUAAGCAAGCUUCAGACCAAACUAUGCUUUAAAAGGUUUUGAACUGUAAUUGACUCCAUGACAAAGUGUCGUUAAGUCUAAUCAAUCGUUGAAAUUGAUUACAUAAGAUGCUUAUAUUCAAAAAUUUCUGGCUUAAUUUAAAAUAUUUUUACUUUAACAAGUUUGAAUGGUAUGUAAUGGUACACGUUUAACACUACUCAUUUAGUUUGACGAUAAUUGAUAAUCAGGUCUCACACAAAUUGGUAUUAAGCCGAAUUACAUACAAGUAUUAAAAUGUGUAUUUAAAUCAUUCAAAAAAAAAAAAAUCCAUUCCUAACUCAGCCAUUUUCAUUGAUUGGAUGGUCCAUGGUACACCCCAAGUCCGUCCCUACAUCCCCAAAAUUUUCUCUCUCUACAAAAAUAAGACAGAACAACACACAAGAAGUCUUCCUCUUCCUCUUUCAUCGAUCACCCUUUUCCCUUUCUCUCUCUCUCUCUCUCUCUACACUCCCAUUAAUUAAUUUUUUAAAAAAAAACAAAAAGCCAAUAAAAAAAAAAGCAGAAAAAAGAAAAGAAAAACACGCACAACACACAGUGGCCCUCUCUCUUUGUCUCUCUCAUACUCAUAUUCUCUCUUUCAAACUUUGUACUACUACAAAACAGCAGCAGUCAGUACUAACUAUUUUUCUAGGGGUAGUAUAUUUGACUUACCUCACUCACUCACUCCCAACAACAAAAUCUCACGCACUACUGCGUGUUUUUCCCCUACACAUUUUUUUUAAAUUUUUUUUUAAAUUUUUAACAUAACUGAAAAGAAAUUUGUGCCGAAACCAAAAGAAAAGCUUCGCUCUCAGAAUUCGGCCUUGCUUCUUGCUUUCUCUGCUUCUCUCUCUCUAUAUCUAUAUCUAUACAUUCAAAGGUAGAUAAAUAUAGUAUGAUAGAUACAGGAGGAGUUGUGGGGGGAGUGAGGGGGGAGGGAAAUGAAUCGAAUGUGAUGGGAGGGGGAUUUUCGCAGCUGUUUCCAUGUUUCAACCGGCGGUGGACGGGCGGGGUGAGCCGGAGGUUCUGUUUACUGCCACCGAACCGCUCGACGAAACCCUAGGUCACUCAUUCUGUUACGUCCGGUCUUCUGCCGCGCUUCCUGUCCCCUACUCAUUCCGAUCGCUUCGUUUCGCCUUCGCAGUCCCUCCGGUUCGACGCCGAGCAGGUUCCGAAGCAGUCCAGACCCGCUGGUUUGCCACCGGAGACCGGUUUUAGAACGAUUUCGGGGGCUUCCGUCAGUGCCAACACUUCCACUCCUCGGACUGUCCUCCAGCUUGACAAUAUUUACGACGAUGCCACUGCCACUGAGAUUAGUAAUACGACGACGUCCGCUGCCGCUGCUGGUGCUGGUGCGGGAGUAGUAGUCUUCUAGGUUUUAGUGCUGGCGUCAAGGGGAGUGUUGUUAAUGGUUUUGAGAGUACGUCGUCCUUCAGCGCUUUGCCUUUGCAGCCGGUGCCACGUGGCGGAGCCGGAGAACCUUCGGGUCAGAUGGAGCGGGCAUUUUUCAUGUCCGGUCGCGAUCGAGCGCGGGCACUCUCGGGUCCGUUGGAUAGUACCGGAGGAGGCUCGCGAUGGAGGUAACAGAGUCCCAUUCUCGGCGCCCUUGGGGGGUAUGUAUGUGAAAAAGAAGAGGAGGAAGGGCAUUUCGGGAUUCGGAAGGCAUUUUACAGGAACUUCCCAGAAAAAAAGCGACCGUGGUGGUGCCCGUGCGAAACUUCGUAGGUGGCCGGAAAGGCAAGGAUGUCUCCGGCGGCGGCUCCGGUGAGCCGGAGAUGCCGUGUGACAGCAAUGUGCAGUGGGCUCUGGGGAAGGCGGGGGAGGAUCGGGUACACGUGGUUGUUUCGGAGGAGCUGGGGUGGUUAUUUGUCGGGAUUUAUGAUGGUUUAACGGCCCUGAUGCGCCUGAAUUUUUGAUGAGUAAUUUGUACAAAGCUAUGUAUAAAGAGUUAGAGGGUUUGUUUUGGAUAAUGAAGACACUAGUAGUAGUACUCAAGAAGUUACUUUAACUGCAGAAAAUAUAGCUUCUGUGGAGGAUUCGAACGACCCAUUGAGUUCGAAUCAGUUGGUAGAGGGCAGAGCUGUGGGGAGGGUUACGGAAAUAGAAGAAGGUGAAAGUGAGUCAAAUUUAGACGAGGCUACUAGUAGGGCAUCAGUUAAGAGGGUGACUUUCCAAUCAGGGGAGAUCCAGGUUAGGAGGAGGAGAUUAUGGGAAUUUCUGGCAGAAGAGGAUCCGGAAGACGGACUUGAUCUUUCGGGUUCAGAUAGAUUUGCAUUUUCAGUUGAUGAUGCAAUUAGUGUUAGCAACGCUGGAUCAGCAGUCAGUAGAAGAUCACUGUUAUUGUCGAAAUUGAAGCAUGGAUUGUUGAUUAAGCACAAGGAGAGUGGGAGUUUUGUUUCCUUGGAAGUUUGGUUUGGCCGGAAAAGAGAAGCCAGGAAGUGGAAGUAGAGGAGAAUCGAGUGGCAGAACAGAUUAGUAGUAGAAGUGGGAGAAUGCGGAAGGUGGGACCUGUUGAUCAUGACUUGGUGUUGAGGGCAAUGUUGAGGGCUCUUGAAGUGACUGAGCAUGCAUAUUUGGAUAUGACCGAUAAGGUUCUUGAUCGGUAUCCAGAGCUUGCACUGAUGGGCUCUUGUUUAUUAGUGGCGUUGAUGAGGGAUGAGGAUGUAUAUGUGAUGAAUGUAGGUGACAGUCGUGCAAUUGUGGCACAGUAUGAGCCUGAUGAAGUUAGCUCCAGUGCACAAUUGAAAGUUCCAGGUGGCAGUGGGUCAAAUUCGGAGGAGGUAUAUUUGAUGAAUUAGCAGAUGCCACUGAAAGAGAGACUGAGGUGGCAAAUGAGGCUUCUUUUCAAGCUAUGAAGUUGACGGCAUUGCAGUUGUCCACUGAUCACAGCACUAGCAUUCAGGAAGUAAGUGUUUGUAAUUUUUUUUAAAAUCUCUUCACUAAUGUAUUAGCUUUUUAUCGCUAUUUUGUUGUCACUCAGUGAAUAACAAUCUCUUUCAGUUGUGCUCCUCUGGCAGUUGCUUGCAUAGUUUGUUAUGGCAGGGAUUAGGAUACUUGAAUCUAAACAUUAUUUAGUUUAUACUUGUAGUGCUAGCUAGAAGAAUUGGCAGUACCCUUUUUUUCUUUAGCUGAAUUUCAUCUUUGCUGACUAGUAGGAUUCAAUCUGCCUUCCUAUUUUAGUUUCCAUUUUGUUUUAAUGUGCUUAGAGCAGUAUCUCUGAGCAUAAUAAACCAUCAACGUGGCAGAUGUUUAAUGUACACUGCUAGCAGAAUGUCUGAGGCAAUUAGCUUUUCUGUGAGAGUAGUGAGGUUUGUUGUGCGGCUGUUGUGCCUGUGAAGAAAUUAUUGACUGUAUCAGGAAGGUGCAAGUUUUUUGGUUGUGAGUUUUUAAGUACUGCAAAUGUAAAUUGAGUGUAAGAACAAGUCAAUUUGAUUGGUAAGGGUUCUGAAUUGAUGAUUUGGUUGCUUGAGUUCAAGCUUCUGAAUGGGUGAUCAGGAAGUUACCCUUUGUCUCUUUCAGUGUUACCUUUUAUCCACUCUCAUCUUCAGAUUAUUCAAUUGCAAAAGAAAACAAGAAAAUAGAGCCAGCUUCUGACAGCUAGUUUCCUUGUCCUUGUUUGGACUAUUAGUUGGUGGCCAACUUUAUUAAACACCCAUGAUCUGUUUGACUAAUACUGAACUAUGAAAUAUUACAUUAAGUCCUAGAAUAUGUUUUCUAACUUGAUCUUGCAAAUACAGCUUGUCUUUCCUUUUCAUUUUAGCCCAUUAUCACAUGAGAUCUCUAGCUUGUAGUAGCUUUGCUGGUGGUCCUUCAGAGUAUGUAUCUUGUUUGAAUUGAAGAAGAAGAACAACUGAUAAAUGAGCAAUUUUUUUGGUUUUUGAUGUUUUAGUUAUAGUGAUUUAGGGCCUCAUGCAGUGAGGUUCUUAUAUUUUAGCGUCUACAAGGAGUCCUCUAUUUUUCAAUUCCAAUUUGUAUGAACCACUGGAAAGCAACUCUGUAUAUACUAUACACCGUGCACCACUUCUACAAGCACCUGGUUUGUAUUUAGAGUCAGUGUGAAAGUGACUUGUUGAUUGAGGACAAGGUGACUACAUUAAUUCACCUUGUGGAUGGAUUUAAAUAAGGCAAUAAUAUCACUAUCUUGCUUAUUUUUUAUUUCCAAAUAUCAUGAAUGUAAAUCAAAGGUGGUUAGAAAUUGCGAAGACCAAAUUAUGGUUAAUUUUUUAAUUUGUCAUGAAUCUCUUCCUUAUCCGAUUAGCAUGCUGCAAGCCUCUACUUCUCGGUACAGGAGUCAACUUUGCAAAUAUCAUCUUUUCUUUGUUGUUUUCAAUGGCUUGGUGAAGUACAAUAGCUGCUGUAGGCAAUGCAUGGGUAAUACUCUAUGUUAACUAUUAUGAUUGAAAUCUUCAAGUUAUGAUUGCAGUAAGCAAUGCAUUGGUGUUAUUUUGUGUGUCCAUACUUUUACAAGAAAGUCAGCAAAACGGUUUUUGCGCUGUUUUACACAGCAUAUAUCUGUAUAAUUUGUCCAGUCUAGAUGAUAGUAUGAUACAUUAUCUUCAUAUCUGUUAUUGGGCAAACUUACGGUAAGAAUGGACCUUUCUCUUUCUGUGCAAUAUUAUACAAUCUCUUUGUGGGGCCUUCCCCCUCUAUGCAAUAUCAGAGGACCUUUCAGGCUUUUUAAACUAUUAUUCAUGUUUUGAGUCAUAGUCCUGUUGCAAGAUAGAGAGACAGUACUCCUUUCAAUUUCCUGUUCUCCUAUAUGACUGAGAUAUCAAUUAUAUGACAGUAAACCUAAUUUAUGAUUUACUAGUUUCUGUGGAAGUAUUCCAUUCUUACCUUUAGUGUUUUUAGUACAUUACGAAUCUUAACAUUUGAAGUUGGUCUAUUUAGAGAUAAUAGUUUUGGGACUACUAUGGGCAAUAAAAAAGAGAUGACAAGAUUAUGAUACUCUGCAUGCACUUAAUAUCAUUUGCAUGUUGGGUACUGGAUGGCAACUUUUCCAUUUUAUCUACAAAUUGCAUUGCUCAAUAUCAUGUUCAUCCUUUUUGCAAGUUUAUUGUGCAUGCAGUUAUUUAUUUUGUGAAGUUGCCUAUCCUGGACCCUUUUCAUGGAUAAGCGCAUGAUUCAGUCCCUCCCUCAUCCCCCGCACAAAAGGGGGGGGGGUAGUCUGAUUUAUGCAGUUUAAGGUAUUAACAUGGGAUAAUAUUCAUUUCAUUUGCUUGUUUGAUGUUGCAUUCAUUGUCCUGUUCCUGCUUUUUUUGCUUUCAUUUUUUUAAUCCUGUUUCUGUUUAAUAGCAUUUGAUUAUCUUUUUCUACUAUCUAAACUCAAAAGCAUUCUAAUUAUGAUUUUGUAACCUAUCCUUGGAGUUUGUGAAUGGAUUCUUUUCUUCUGACUUGUGUCAGGAAAUCAUUAGGAUCAAGAAUGAACACCCUGAUGACAACAAUUGCAUUGUCAAUGAUAGAGUUAAAGGUCGUUUAAAAGUUACCCGUGCAUUUGGAGCUGGUUUCCUUAAGCAGGUUUGCUUUUAACUUCUGUAUUUUGCAGUUAUUAUCUGUGCUCUAAUCAUGUCCAUCAGAAUAAAGAUGAGAGUUGUUAGAAAUUUGUUUGGCAUACUGUACAUGGUCCAGUUUAAGGUCACUUUAUAACUUUAGUUUCCUUCGGAGAGAGGCACUUUCCAAGUAUUUAUGAAGCGAGCAAAAAGGAGAACUCCAGAUCAUGAUUGACGUCAAUGGUACUGUUUUCAUGUACUAUCUGUCGAAUUUCACUACUAAUCUGUCAUCUUAUCUGCUGUCAUCCUCUCCAUAUUGAGCAAUAUAUCCAAUCGACUAUUCUCUCUGUCCUUUGUGAAACAUUUUCUCCUCCCCCUCCCUUGAAAACACCAUUGGCAAAAACAUCCUGACUGGAUACUAACAAUCUUUGUUUCGAAUUGUUGCAAUGACUAAAAGAUGGAAAUUUAGAAAUCUUUAAACUUUGAGAUUGGGUUUUUUUCUUUUUUUUCUUAACUGCACCACGAACACCUGGAAAUGUGAAGCAUCCUGAUGCACGCUUAUGUAGUAAUGUAUGCCAACGGCAUACUAUCACUCAUUUUAUAUCUUGGACAUUGUUUUAAUAUGCGUUGCUAGUCUGAAUAACAUUUUGAGAUGUCUGUUUCUGCAGCCUAAGUGGAAUGAUCCCUUACUGGAAAUGUUUCGGAAUGACUACAUUGGAACUGCUCCUUAUAUCUCCUGUUCACCUUCUCUUCGGCACCAUAAACUGUGUCCCAGAGAUCAGUUUUUGGUCCUGUCAUCUGAUGGAUUGUAUCAGUACUUGAGCAACCAGGAAGUGGUUUCUUUUGUUGAAAUUUCAUGGAGAAGUUUCCAGAUGGCGACCCUGCUCAGCACCUGAUAGAAGAGCUUUUGUUACGUGCAGCUAAAAAAGCAGGUAUAUUCACUCUGCUUGCCCUGAUAGAAGUUGGUAUUAAAACUUUUUAUUGAUUCCGUCAAAAGCAGCGAAUUUUCUUUUUAACAUUGCACAUCAUGGGAGUAGCAUGGGACUCGAGGAAAGAUAUGUUUGCUAAACUCCUCUUUAAACUUGGUUUAUCUGGCUUGUCUGCUGUCAAUAUAUGUGAAUUAUUGAUGCAGUCUGGAUUAUAGGUUUUGGAAACUUUGAAGGUUGCUAAUUAUUGGUGGUAGUGUCCAACUCCUUUCUGUAUUGUACUAUGAAUUGCUCUUUGUCCUUCAAACCAUCCUGAGAACACUUUAUCAACAAGGGAAAAAAUACAUUGUGGACUAAGUUGGUGUUAAACUUACUGUAAAUUAGGACAGGUUUCAUUAUAGAGCUAUUUGAUCUUUGCAAAUAGUGAAUCCAACAAUUAAUUGGAUGAUAUUACUAAAAACAGUUCCUACUUUUUCACAAGUAAUCAUUAUUAAAUUUAAGUACUUACUAGGCAAUCAUGCAUCACAUGUGUGAAAGAGUUCUUUUUGAAAUGGUUUUAUGUGUUAUCAAAUUUUGGCCUGCUUCCAUUUCCCAACUUCACCCUCCCUUCUCCACCGAAUAACGGUGGCAGGUGCUUAGAUAUGCAAGUUUUGCCACUAAAUGCCCAAAAAGUUUAUGAUCACUAUAACAGUGCGGAAUUUUAUCACAAGACCGUAUGAAGUUACAAAACUAAUCCAUGUCAUUGUUUUACGUGAUCUUGAUAUUACUCAGUCUGGUAUUUACCCGUGCAGUAGAUUUUUAAGCCCCCUCACAAAAAUAACUUCUCCUCUAUAAGAAAUAGCACAUGAGCCAUCUCCUGGAAUAAUAAUGUUUCCUUUAGCAUCAGGUGUUGGGCCUGGAUUCUUGUUGUUCACUCCUGCGAUGUUCUUUUGCUGCAUAUGCUUUGUAGCUUAAUACAAGAGUUGCGCAUCCUCUUAAUGCAUGAGAAAACAUCUAGGCCAGCAUAGUAAGGAUAGAAUUCUCUUUUGUCUGCAGGAAUGGAUUUUCAUGAACUACUGGACAUCCCCAAGGUGAUCGGAGGAAGUACCAUGAUGAUGUCACUGUGAUGGUGAUAUCACUUGAAGGAAGAAUUUGGAAGUCAUCAGGAAAAUACCCUUGAGUUGGCAUAACUGGUAGAAUCUCUAAAUGGUCUGUGUCUCUAGAGCUUCGAUCCUCCGGCUGUGUUGACAGCAGGGAUUAGGGAAGUUUAAGAACCAAUUUUCUUGGUUAUCAAAUUAUAAGCAUAGAGUUCGUGGGGAAUCCUGAGAGCAGGAUCAUCAAUGCUCAAAGCAAUGUGAAAAAAAUGGGUCAGGGAAAGGUAUAGAAAUUUUUGUAGUUGGGACCGCUGGAAAGUGCUUUUAGGCAACAAAGUAACAGGAAAAUUUCUUUUCCUUCUCUUUUUUAUUUGGUUCUAAAUUUUGCAUAGAUGCACGAUAUGUGAUUCAUUGUGUAUCUCUUCGUUUCGCAUUUUAGCGCCAAAAGCUGUGUUUGUAAGAUGGUGGGUUGGGAGGGGUUUAGAACAGUACUUAGAUCCGCUAUAGUCAAAAGGCGAGAAUUUGUAAUUUUGGAGGUGGGGCUUCCACCUAUGCGGCUUAUAAAUAGAAAUAUUUUACCCAAGAUGUGUCUGUAAAAUUCAGCAACGUUGCAGACCACUUGAAGAAACAGUACAGUUGUUGGUGUUUUGCCCCUUAGGAGCAAAAUCCUGAUGCUACAAAUCACAGCAAAAACUCUGGCUUACUUUUAUGGUAAAACAACCUGGGCAUUUUUUUUUUUUUGACAAAUUUGCACUAAUAACAAUGGUAACAGGGCUGUGGUUCUCGUACAUAAAAAUAUGCAUGCAGGUUUAGCACUCCAGUUUCAGUUGGUUCAUUCGAUGAUGGCUUCUUCCUCCAUAUAUAUAGGGUUGAGUGAAACUAGACUUUCGGCAUAAAUUCGACCUUCAAGCAAGGUUGAGGACUCGAAAAUGUCAUGCUCCUUGAGUUCUGCUGCUUCUAGUUCAUCCGGGAGGAGAGGCAUGAAAUCAACCGCCCGGAUCUACUCUCCAGAAGAAGUUGCUUGUCAUCCUUCCAAAGGCAGAGCGGACGACGAAUUCCAAUUGUAAAAGGCCCCAGGGAGAAUUUCUUCGUCCAAGACUCUUCAACCCGUACUCCAUCAUUACCCAUAUAUCAAUGACCUGCGGAGGGGCUGGGUGCUCCUCCGACAAGGAGGUGCAUAAAAUCAAGGCCAAGGAAUCAUUUAAGCUAACAAAACUGGGUUCUUUGUUUUCAACAAGACCCAAAUCUCCAACACAACUAGGAGGGUAGUGGAUCACAUCAAACACCUCGGCCCUCAUAUCAAAAGAAAGGAUACAGUCAGUGUCACAGGGUUGAGCCAAGGCAUGCCAGGCACGCCAGUGGAAGCGUCCCUGAAAUAACAGGUUGCAUCGGGCAAAACAAUGAUAGAAGGGCAAGAUCACAUCUCUUAAUUCUCUCAAGAAUUUGUGUUGAGAGAGUAUAGUUCAGCUUGGUAUUGACGGUCAGGCCUAUACUCUAUAGGUUCCCAAUACAGAAUCCUAACAACCUUGUAAUCAUUGGUGGAUGAGUCAAAUCCGAUUCCUACACAUCUGUCAUAGGACGAUAAUUUCAGGGCAUCCGAAGGGGCUGGGAGGAAGUUUCCUCAGUUCACGAGUGCAGGAUUGCAGAGAUAUAUGUCCAUGCCAUCGGUAAUGCAAACGAUGCCAUUGCAUGGACCAAUCAAGUGGGCAGCUUCAAGAUUGCGAUGGUAGAACCAGGUAACUUCUAUAGGUGGGCGAAGACAUAUAGAUAGAGAUUUUUCUGCUUCAUCAUUGUUGGAAUGGAAGGAUAUCACGGUUUGGUUCUCGUGCUCGAUGUAGCGCUUGAGCAUGACAUGCUUAUUUUCCCGGGACGCCUCAGAUGCAUAUCAAUGAAGGAGGGGCUUUUGAUCAAACCACACCAAGCUUUACAACACAUCUGAUUUUCAACAGGGAUUUGACGGGCAAUCUCGUGAGGAUCUCCAUCAUCACUUCCUCGGGCAGGUCCAUCCUACAAUCUUGGUGGAAGCGUUUUCCUAUACCAUGUAUAUAAGUCUGUUGAUUGUUGUGUUUCUGAAGGGGAAACAAAGAGGUUAAUAUUGGUGGGCGGGUCUUAGCGCGGUGUGUUUCUUUUUUCCUUCAAAAUAUGUACGAGGAAUGUCCAGCAAACUAUAGGGUAGACUUUUGCUUGAAAAUUUGUAUGUACUUACAUAUGGAUGGUAUUAGCUCCGGAAUUUGUCCGAGGAAGGAUUUCUGUUACAUUUGGAUGGUCUUUUCCAUGUCAAACUACUCUUAGCUUUCCAUUCUAAAUCCUAAUGGAACUAAAACACGCCUAAUUUCCCUUUGAUUCCGAUAGAACCUUCAAAUCCUCCAGACUCCUCUCUACUUUGUCUGCUUUCCAACUGUUAAUCUUUCCGGCCAAAGCUCUUUCGUGCUCUCUACCUUUUUUUAAAAAAAAAAAAAAAAAAAAAAAAUCUGGGGUGCUCUUUCAUAUCAUAAGCAUGGAGUUCGAAAAUCCUGGAGUAGGAUCAUCAAUGCUCAAGCAGAGUGAAAAAACUGGGUCCGGGAACUUUUGUAGUUGGGAAUGCUGGGAUGUGCUUUUAGGCACUAACUAACAGGAAAAUUUUUCUUCUCACCCUUUCAAUGCUCAAGCAAAAUGAGCAAACCAAGCAUGUUUUCGUAGUACUAAAUGUUUCUUACGAUGCCAAGUAAAUACUCCCAUCUCCCAGCAAGAAAUUCAGAAAAAAAACUAGACAAAGAAAAGAAAACUUGGAUUAUAGACAGAAUUACUUUACCAAGUUGUCUGCUAAAAAUUUAGUACAGUUGCAGGGCCACUUAAGAGCAAGUACAGUUGAUCUUUGCCCCUUCUACCUAAAUAAGCAUAAUCCUGAUACUACAAGUUACAAUAACGCCUCUGGCUUACUUAGACUAGAGUAAUUUGAGAAAAUAAACUUGCACUCUGUCAGGCAUAGCAGCAUGGGAUAAAACUAUAGUUAUGGCAAUUAGUACACCUAAGCUAUCGAGGCAAGUGAUGCAGCCCUCGAAUGCACCCAGGAUAUCACAUCUUCUCGAGUUGCCACAAAGAGGCCUGCUUUAUCUUCCCUUAGUUUAAAAGGAGCAGCAAGCUUCUCCGCAUGUGAAGCAAUGCGUUGGCCAAACCUUGAGAGUACUUGUGACUUCCUGCUCCAGUGCUUGCAGAUAGCACUUCUGGCAAUGCUCUCGGCGCUGGACAAGUUUUGUUAAGGUUUGCAUCCAUUCUUCAAUGCAGUAUGUGCUGCACCAACGGAGAGUGAUCGACAUUUAAUCGCCAUUCCUCCUCAGUCCUAGUAUGUAAACCUGGUAUAAUCCAUACAUUGUCCCAAAUAAAGAAGCUCAUGAGCUCUCUUCGGAGAUUUCUGUUCCGACAAAUAUCAAUCAAGCAAUUACAGAAAGGCCUCCUUGCAUCAACAGCAGUGUUGCUGAGUAUUCCUUUGAAUUCCUGCUUCACAUUCUCAAACUUAGUAUCUUCUUCUUCCAACGACUUGAUAAAGGCAACCAAAUUUUGGUUAGCCUUAUGUAAACACGCAAGGACCUUGUUUGCAUCUUCACCUUCACAGUAGGACACGACGGACAGCAAACACCCACAAAGCCUAUCAUCUGGUUUGAUACCACCACCAUCGACUGAACUCUCAAACACCUGAACCAAAUCGUCAAUUCUCUUCGCUCUUCCUAGGCACUGAAUCAAACAUGUACAUCCAUGACAUUGAGCUCAACACCCUUGUCGGACAUUCCUCAAACAUCCUCAUUGCCUUGUCAGCAUUCCCACCACUGCCAUAUAUAUUAAGCAUCGCAGUAUAGCUCAGCUGUCCGGUUUACGGCUUUCAGAUCCCUUCAUAUCCUCAAACAGACUCUCAGCCUCUUCUUCCAACCCAAGAUCAGCACACAUGCUCAACAAGAAUUAUACAAUAUGAAAUCACAGGCCAUCCAUUCAAUCUCAUCCGAUCCCAGAGCUCCAAAGCAUCUUUAGCCCAUCUUGCCUUCCCAUAAAUCCUAAUCAAUGCUGUUAGCGUCUUUUCAUUCGGGGUAAUCCCUGAAUCCAACAUUUCCUCAAACAAACUCCUAGCCAGUCCAGGCUUCCCGGCCUUACCCAUUGCUUCCAGUAGUGUAUUAUACACAACUAAAUUAGGUUGUACCCCAACUGACUUCAUUUCUUCCAAGACAUACCUUAUACCAUCAUAAUCCCCUGCUUCACCGAACACCUUCCCCAACACAGCAAAAGCAACAGGAUCAGGCUUCCAACCACUAGCCCUCCCUCUCUCAUACAAACUCAUCACCUCCUCAACCUUCCUCAGCUUUGCGUAAACAUCAAGAACAGCAGAGUAAGUCACCUCAUCAGGCAUGAGCCCAGUUUUAUACAUCCUCUCAAACCACUGGACCGCCUUAUCGAAAAGAUUACAUCUUUUUGCACAAGUGAUGAUAGUAGAAUAAGUAAUAUUAUCAAGCUCAACCCCAUUUUCAAUCAUCUCAUUAGCAAGAUUCUCCAUGUGCUGAAACUGCCUGCCAAACCUCAAAGACUUCAUUGUUACAUUAUAAAAGAUUGUUUCUAGAGGAAACAAAUUCAGGGUCUUAAUCCAAUUGAAAAAAAGAAGAGUCUUUUGCCAACUUCUCAAACUGUUGAGCACCAGCAGGGCAUUAUCUCUAUUGGGUGGAUGUGGGAUUUCUUCAAGAAUUGCCUGAAAAGCAGCGUCAUCAGCAGGGUGACAAUCAUUGAGUUUCUUGGCGAAGUGUUUGAGGUCUCUGAUUUGAGGAUUGUAGGAAUAAGAAGAGCGCUUCUGGCGUUGGAGAGAGAGGACAGACGGCUUUGGCUUUGUGGAUUGACCCAUAUGGACUUAGGUUUGGAUAAGAGUUGAUGGGAUUCAUUUGGUUGGUCAGAGAGAAUGGUGUUGGAGAGAGGCUUCAGCUGCUCGGAUAAAGAUGGGGUUUUUCUCUUUUUGGAUUCUGCUUUUCCUGGAGCAGUUUUUGGAGGAGAUUUGGAUGAAGUGCAAAAAAUGGUGAACCUUUUGGUGGAGAUUCGUAAUGGAGAGGCGGUGAAAUGUGGGGGCUGAUUUUGUCUGAAGGAUAUGAUACGUUGCAGUGGUGAACAUCUACAACUGCUGAGAGUUUUGCAGCCAUGGCGAAAUGGGGAGGGGAGGUGACGCGGGGUGUUGGUUUCUGGGAAGAUGGAGGUUUGGGUUUAACCAAAGGAACAUCUAUCUAUUCAUUUCAUGCUUGACAGUCUUAACAAUGACAUGGAUUUUUUUUGGUUUUGGGAGACCUUAUCCGGUGACAGUCAGGUGAUUCUCCGAAUGUAAGCCCUAACAAUAAAAGCUUUACAAAUAAAAACAUUAGCGGUAAGAUUAGGAAAAAGAUGUUCCAUUAAAAGGGGUUGGGAGUAAUGAUUAUUAAUGGAAGAGGAACUGUUGACAUAGGAAAAUGAUAGCCAAAAUAAAUUACUGACUUAAAAAAAGAUUUCAAAAGCUGUGGAGGAUCUAAAGUGGGAGGGAAUGGUAGGAUAAAUGUUGGUCAAAGAAAACCAUGUAUGCAAAGUUGUUGAAUUCCCGAAAGAUGAAGAGUAGGGAAUUAUUCAAGUAUACAGAGAUUUCAAAUUUGCAUGGAGAUUGGAGUGUCGAAAGAAGGAUAAAACUUGGUUUCCACUAAAAUUUGAAAAAGAUUAGGGGUCAGAACUCAGAAGGGGAAAGGGCUACAGAGGGAAGAGUAAGGGAUGGAAAAGAAUUUUAUUGAAUUCACCAAAAAGAGCAAAAAAGAUUAGAGGAUUGAAAAUGGCAGAGGAACUAAAGUGUAAAGGAAGAAUAUGUAUCUAAAAAAAGGAGACACAGAAAAUGCGUUAUAAAUUCACGAGGUGGUGCUCCGUUAAUUUUAUGUGCUGGUAAAUGGUAAAGACCGAAGGCCAGCACCUGUCCUUGGAGGAUACAUGCGAUUUGGGAUUGGGUUAAAACGUCAAUGGUCUCUUUUGCUAAUGCAAUUUUGUUUGACCAUUUCAUGUAUUACAGAGAUUCUUUGGUGGAUGCAGAUUGCAAUCGUUAUGUUCAUACGCACCAAAUAAUAGAUGCACUAGCACAACAGAGGUUAACACUGAUGCAACAAUUGUAAGGAGGACUAAGAUAGUAAUGCAUUAAAUUGUGCUUGAAUUUAUGGCAGCGUUAUUGGUAUUACAAAAAUGUAGUGAAAAAUCAUGAUAUUCAAUACAAGAUCCUGUACUAUUAAUCAACCUCAGCUCCUAAGAAGGUGCAGGAUGUACAAGUUUUCUUAUAUGAUUCUCAACUCUCUUUCUGAUAGAAGAAUCAGGAUAUCGCGCUGUCACCUCAGCUGCAAACGAGAAGAUGAGAGC
rnacentral:lncRNA from 1 species